UUCUCUUUCAAAAACAGAAAACCUCUCUCUCCCCCCUCUCUUCCCACUCUUUUUCUUUCUCCCAAACUUGCCCCUCGCCAGUCCAUCGCUCGUCGGCCUCACGUCGUCGAUCUGCCAAUCGCCACCUAGCCCCUCAACGGUCUUUUCCUCAUCCUCAAUCUUCUAGUGACUGGUGCCUCCUCCAGCAGUCGAUUGAUCGGCUUGAGCCAGUCGCUUGUUCUGCGAGUUGAAGAAAAUGGCUACCGAGCCGGUCCAGCGACCUAGAUUGACGGCGUGAGCCACACCGAUCUCUCCCCAACUUCAUACCUAGCCUCACCAUGGUUGGGGAUUGGCAGCUCAACCACCAGAUUAACUCUGCUAGUCUGUUCUAUUCCAACGCAUCCAAGGCCGAUUCAAUUAGGACUAGUUCUAUCCAAGGUGAACUGGCGGUCCAACUGGUCCCUAGCCAAUCCGUAGGCGAUCCGAUCCAUCCCUCAAAGUUCCGAUCACGUUCUGGUGACGUUGAUUUUUUCCGAUUGUGCUUUGUUUUGAAGGAAAAUGCAGAAGGUAGAUGUUUUAACCUUGAAUCCGAUAAGUUAAGCAACGUAACCAAUUGGGGCUAGUAUUCAAGUUUAGAUUUAUAUAAUAUGCUUAGUUCUAAGAAUGAUGAUGUGAUUGAAUGAUCUACUGAAGAUUGAUGUUCAUUGAAGACAAAGAUGAGUUUGUUUGAAUUUGGGUAGUGUUAAUAUGCAAUUCCGUGCUUCUAUUGUAUGCUUAUUGUUUUGGUUGAGAUGAGGUACUAUAUGAACUUUUCUGACCUCGAACCCUUCUAUGUGUAAAAAAAAUAGACUUCCUGAGCUUCAAUUUGAUAAGUCACGCAUCCUGAGAAAAUGUCAUUUGGUCAUCAAAAAAUACCUCCGAAAUCAGUCGAUUCUGCAGUAGUUAUAGGUACAUUUGAAGUUCUGACUUUGUUUUGAUUUUCUAUAUUAUUUUUUUCAUACUUAUUUCUAUGAGCAGAAUCUGGAAAAACUUUCUUCACGAGAUUUAUGCAAAAUUGUCUUGAGCAUGACAUCUAAUUUUUUUCAGAAUUUUUUAAGAUGUUUUGAUUAGACAAAAUCAUCAAAAACCAAACCUAGGUCUAUGUACCCUACACCAGAUCCGAAUUGCAUUUGUGUGAAAUUGAAGAUGUAAUAAGUCAAUUUGACUUCACAUCCUCUAUGAGAUUUGUAAUGCAUGUUUUAAGGAUUCUAGAAAAGUAAGAUUCAUGUGGAUUUCUCAUCAUUUGGUAUGUCAAUUGCAUGCACGAAUGUCUGUAGGUUCUGGUGCAAUUAGGGUAUCUCACAACAUGCAUUUGUUCUGCUAUUUUCGCAUAGGUUUGUGUGAUCCAAAUUAAGCUCCAAUGUGUCACAAAAAAUGUUCGUCAUGUCACAUCCUACAUAUAAAAAAUUUCGUAGGUUUUUUUGCACAUCAUUAGUUCAUUGAAAUCAAACAUGUUCAGUGAUAAUCGCAUUAGUUUAGGGGUUUAUCAUGAGCAUACUAAAACCCAUUCAUUAUGGUCUCUUAAAGACCAAACUAUGCAUUAAUGCCUUCUCGACAUUUGAAGUGUGUGUUACAAGUUUCGCGUCCAUAUAUGGCAUGUCAUAAUUGAACUUUAUUUGGUAUGUAAACAUCAUGCAUCAAUUAGGCUAAUUGCAAUUGAAGUUCAUCGGAUGUGUCAUUCCUAGUUCUAAAUCAUUUUGCAAUAUUGAUGGAUCAUGUGAUUUCUUUGCAUCCCAUAUAGGGUUAAACGUUUUACCCAAAUCAUUGUUGCAUUCAAUCAUUCGUCAUAUGCAAGUUUCAUACGAUUCAUGUAUUGUUUAAACGGUCUUUUGAACUAUUAAACAUAUACCAUGUUCUGUUUUGUAAAUGGCUGACUCACAUACCUUCACGAACAUCAAUUUUUGACCCUCGAUUCAACCUUGAUUGAACGCCGACCCUUCUAGCAAGUUUUAGGACUCAUCUAAAUAUUUUUAAUGCCACUUUUUGCGCGAUUUGCUUAUCACUUGACCCCGUUCCCUUUUUUUCCAAGUUAGAUUAGAAAUCUUACUUAGGUUAAAUUCGGAACCCCUGUUUUAUCCCUAUUUAGUCUGACUUUCGUUAUUUUUGUGUGAUUUUUCAGUUAGAGAUUCUUAAGCCGGACCCUUCACAGACUUUGUUUCUUACUCUUUUGAGUACGUUGUGGUGAAAUUUCAUAUUUUUUAGAGCCCUUUUUUUUUUUUUUUUUUGGAUCAGAAAACAGCAGCUCAUGAUUUACUAUUGCAUAUCAGGAAAUAUUGCACCAAGAACAUCAGUGCAUAAAAGAUCAAAUAAAGCAGGGGGGUUGGAUAUCCAGUAAGAGGGGAGAGUAUUGGUUCGACACACCUUAGCUGUCCAAUCCACGAGGCAAUUUGAGCUUCGGCUGCAAUGGGCCAGGGAAAGGCCCGGAAGACGAGCGAGUUUGACUUUGGCCCGGCCCACGAUCAAUUACACUUCCCAACUGAGUUCGGUGGAAGACUUUAACGCGUGCACAAGAGAGAGGCAGUCAAAGUGUACUUGUGGAGAGAGAAAGCUUCGGUUCUCGAUAAACGCUAGGGUUUCCUCCAUGGCUAUCGCCUCUGCCUGAGAAGCCGAAGCGGCGUUGACUGGCUUCACAAAACCAUCCACCAAAUGGCCUCGGUGAUCUCGACAGACGCAAGCAAUGGCGGCUCUGUGUCGAGGAGGGUCUCUCACGUCAUUGGAUGUUAAGUCCUCUACCAGAUUUGGAAUAAAGGAAGCAUCUAUGUUGAUUCAUAGCGUACCUGGAGGAGGUGGAUGCCAUUUUCCAGAUGAGUUUUCUGCCUCUUUCUUGAGUUUUGCUUUACCGUUUAUGGCUCAGUAGCUCUCUGUUAACGCCUCUGCUCUAGAGAUUGUGUAUUGCGGCUUUGGGGUACUAGGUCAAAUCUCUGUUGUUGUGUCAUGAUGUCCUGUUGUUCUGCUGAAUUUCUAAUGCGGUUUUGAACUUCUUUGAAAUUUUAUAAAUGUCUAUGUGGCUUGUUUCAGAAUACUUCCUUCCCCUUGAUUGCGUGCACAUUGUGUAAUUUUCUUGGAACAAUUUGUCCAUGGGUCCAUUGCCAAUUGCGUUGAUUUUGUUUAUCUGUUCUAUGAUGUCUUAUUGUAAAUCUUUGUUGUGAUUUUUUUUUUCAAGAUCCUUUAGGACAAUUUGCAUGUUGAAAUAGGAUUCAUCACUUUCAUGAAGUUUGCUCCAAGUUUCUCAAUCUUCGUUGUUGGAAAUUUUUUGAAAAAAACUAAAAAGGUCUUUUAUCGGCACUUUUUUCCAAAAUUGAAGUGAAAUGUCGGUUUUCCAUGUGGAAAUGAUUUUAAUACAUGUGAUGCUUCCAAUAUCAAUUGUUUAGCAUCUCUUGGAACUUCCGAUUUGAGGUUGAUCCUAUUGAAGCUUGGAUUGUAUUUAAAAUGCCUAUGACAUUUGUUAGCAGCGCAAUAUGCGCCCCAGAAUAGCUUUGGCAAAUGAAAUCAUACCUCACUUUCAACACUUUUUGUCAAAAAUUUUCAUCCUGAUGUUUUAAACACAUUCAAAGCCUCUUGAAGCAUCACAUGCAUCACAAAUGCAUAAUAACAUUUCAUUUUUUAGAGAUGCCUGUGAUUGUGUUUGGCUCCCGUUAUCUGAAUAAGUGAUCCAAUGCUAGCUUACUAAAAAUUGUUUGAUUGUCUAGGAAAUAAAGUCAAUGGGUCUACCUGCAUGUUUAAUUCCUACUAAUGCCUUUGAAUUUUAUAUGUAUGUUUAGGUAUGGUGUCUAUUUAUGUGGGGUAACCUUGGGAUUCAUUUAGAACAUGUCAUAGGGACUUAUAAGCGUUAGUGACCACACAAGAACACAAAUGGUCACUAAUAGCUGUAAAUCAUGAAAUUGGAUUGAGUAGGUGUCUAAAAGGACCAAUGCAUGAUUUGCAAAGGCCAAUCCCGAGACCCAACUUGAUUGACUUUGAAUCUUGUUUCAACUGCUUGAUUCUUUUUUAUUGUUUAAUAAUUGUGGUUGUUUUUGGCAUGAGUGGUUGUUUCUUUCCUAUUGUAUGUACCUUGUCUUAGUUUUUUUAGAAUAGGAUAGUAUAGGUCCUAAGAGGUGGAGGUCCCUCAAAACUUGAGGACAAUGGGAGGUCGAUAUUCAUUCCAACCCAGUUUUGUAUUCAUUUUUACCCAAUAUAUGUUUCGGGUCAUUUUGCAUUGUGUAAACACCCGAUGAAGUGCGGGUUUUAUUUUUUCCGCUUUAUUUUUGCCUAUCACCUAGGAUUGCAUGUUAGAUUUAUUGUUUUCCCUAUAACAAUUCACUUGAUUGUUUACUUUCUCUCUCAUCUUUAAAUUUCGAUUGUUUGCUUUCUUUUUCUUUCUUACAAAUAGAAAUUGCAUGAAAAUAGCCAUCCAUGCAUGGUCACUUAGGAAGUUAACAACCCAAAAAAGUAAGAAGAAAUGUUUGGACGCCUUAGGAAAUAUGACAAACUAUUAGGUAUUGAAAAGGUGCUCAUAGAAAUAUUAGCAUAACCCGAGUCCCCAAAUCUAGAAUCUCUAGUUGCGUAAGAAUCGAGGGACCAAUUUCAACCCUCAAUUGGGAUUUUUAGCUGACCACAAAGACGAGGCUAGUGGUGACUCUCAUUCUUUUUAGGUUGUUUUAAAUAACUAAAUAAUAAAAUCAACCCAUUGCAAAGGGUAUGGGCCUUGUCGAAGCUCACCAUAAUUUAGCAUACCCACUGUAGAAAGCUCCUAAUUGAUGAAGUGAUAUCAUCAUUAGGGAAUAGAGUACUAGUAGGAGGGCUACUAUGGUAAAGGUACUCUUAAAUUCAAUACUCACACCCGACCUCCUUCUUUGAGGUAUGUCACUCGUGUGGGUAUGAAUCGUGACACUUUCUACUGUCACGUGAGGUAUGAGCUUGCUCACAACUAUGAUCAAGCAAACUCAUGAAUGGUUUGUACUAAAAGGCAAGGUGAUAGCAUCUUUGUGGAUGCAAACCAUGAGGGAACUCUUAUGGUCAAGUACCCAUAAGCCCAACAUUUCCUCUUCUUGGUUCACAAAGUCAGGUUGCGACAAGGCCACCUUCAUUAUGUGGCAAGACCAUGGUGAGGCAAAAUUGCCUCGCCUGUGGCCUCGAUACCUCAUCCAAAUUUGGGCGAGGCUGUUGGCAAGGGCUUCUAGCCCUCGUCUAUUGGCUGGUGAGUGUCGGCGGAGCCUUGCCAACCACUAUGGGAAAAAAAAGCCAAGGGAGGAGGAAGAGAAAAAAUAAAAAGGAAAAAAAAUAAAAAUUUUAAUAAAAAUAUUAUUAAAAAAUUGCCACAUUGACAUCGACCAAAUGGUCGUUACUGGCAUGCGUUCACAUUAGCAUUGACAGGCAAAAUUAGCCGGAUGAAUUGAAUUGGCACAACUGUAAAAGGUUUAUAACUAAAUUGAUAAAAAAAAAGUUUAAAACUAAAUUGGCAUAAUUGCAAUAAAUUUAGAACUUCUUUUUUAAUUUCCUAGUUAAAAUUAUCUCAUGACUUAUUCUCGUUAAAUAUAAAACUCUGAUGAGUCAGUAUUAAGAAUAUCAACAUACCAUCACAUAAAAUUUCAAAAAACUUCAAUAAAUCCACAUGAUUAGAAUGUGGAAAAAAGAGACUCCACGGGCAUCCUAUGAAACGUGAAGGAUCACAUUCUAUAUAACCGGACGAGACAAUCAUAUACGAGAAUUUCUUAUAUCAAACAAUGACAACUAUAGUUGGCUCACUUUAUGAGUAUUUGGGCAUUAAUUUUCAUGUCCACUUUUCAUCAUUGAGGUUAGCAUAUUCACAACAACUCCUGAUGACUAUAUGCUUUCGCCUUAGGUCCUUCCUCCACUGUUGUCAAGGAACUGUUUGCUAACUAGCAAAAUAAUUAAAUCUAUUCUUUUAUUCUCCGAAAUAAAAUAAAAUUUAAAAAAAGAACAGAAAUUCGUUUAGUAACUUUCGUAUCCCCGAAAAUAAAUUUUUUCGUGUGAAUAGAUUUGGUAAAUAAUCAAGAAGUUGAGAAAAGUUGCUUCUUUGUUUCUAGGAAUAAUUUCAAAAUCGAGCCAAGUUUUCUAUUUUUCUCUUUUAUUUUCUCUUCAUCUUUCUCAUGGCCAAUUGUUGGCCAUGGUGAUGGCCAAUGAUUGCUAGGUUUAGGUCCCACUAGUUUGCCAAAGCCUCCCCAAGCCAAGGCGAGGCUUGGCCUUGGCAAGGGUCAGCCUCGCACUGACUAGGCUAGGUCUAGCCUCGUCGGUAGCCAAACAAGAUCGCCCAACCACCGACGAGGCUCAACCUCGCCAAUGGCCAAUCGAGCCUCAACAAGGCUCGAUCUCGCUAGGCCUUGCAUUGGCUUGGUGAGGCUCCGGCAAGCUCGCAAGACCUUGCAUAGCCGGUCACCAACCAUUGCCAUGGCCAACAAUCGGCUAGAGAAGAAGAAUAGGGAUGGAAAAGGAAAAAGAAAAAUAUAAGAAAAAUAUAAUAAAAGUAUUAAAAAUUAAAAAGAAAUUCUAAUUCACAAAAGAAUUUGAGAUUUCAUCAAAUGCAUUUUUUCCUGAAAAAAUAAAAUUUAAACAGUUACCAAACACUUUCAAAUGUCAGAAACUAUCGAAAAGAAUUAUUUUUAAGUCAAAAUUGUUCCCAAAAGUAGAACAGUUACCAAAUAUACCCUAAAGAUACUCAGUAGACACAACUUCAAGAUGUUUCUUAAGAGUAGCCACCAUAGAAUGCCCACAUAUAGUUCCCUUAAAUUCAGAUAAGUAGCACAUGCCCUUCAUUUCUCAUUCCUCGUCAUUAAAAUACACUUCGCAAUCAACAUGCCUUUGUCCAUCGCCAAGUUCAAUUUCAUCACAGACAUCAAAGAAGGAAUCGAAACCUUCCACUUAGGCCAGAGUUGGAUAACAUCACAUUUUCAUCCCUCUACUCUUCUUGAAAUUCUCCCAAAAUUGCUAUUGCCAUGAACACCUUGAAAUUGCUUGUCGGUGCUGGAAUGUGUUAUGAGGGGGGCUUUGGAGUUAAAAGAGUCGCUCCUCUUAAGAUUUUCUUUUCCACCUUAUCCCUUGAGGCAUUAUCGUCUUGCUUGACAAAUUUCUUCAAUGUGGCAUGGCGAUUGACACACCCAUGAAAGAAAGAGUUCAUUCUUUUCCUUCUUUACAUGAAAGACUUUUUCACACAAAAACUGACUUUCACGCGAAUAUGAACUUGACAAAGUCGCUCAUUAUGUGAGUAUGGAUUGACCCAAGUGUUUGAAUUUCCCGAAGAAGGAUCAAUUCAUACGGGCUUCUUCAUGAACUAAUCAAUCCUUCGUGUUACUACGUAUGUAAUAUCUUUCAUACACCAACAGUGAAUGAAAUUAUGCACCAUCACAUCUUAGUUAUGGUAAUUUGUAUGAUGUUAACUCGAGCUUGACCACUAGCGUGGUAGUAAUAUUAAUUCAGAAAAGCUUCUUAAACCUUAUAAUUGCUAAAUUGUUUUAGAAAAUUUCGGUAGUUUCGCUGGUCAUUAUAUUCUCCCAUAUUUCGUUAUGUCAUCGAAAUUCCCAUUCUGAGAGAAUUCUUUUCUCUUAAAAAAGGUUUUUCAGUUCUUAAUAUGCAUUUUUUUUUCCAUCCAUGGCCAACAGAUAUCCCUUAUAUUACCCUUAAACCACGAAAAAAAUUCAAAGAAGAAGAAGAAGGUGUGCAGUAUCAAACGUUCGGACUGAUACUUCUUCAACUUCGAAGCAAAAUGGCCGUUCGACGUCUUUCAGCUUCAGACGCGCGGACGACCGCCCCUGCUUCCUCCCUCACCUCGACGGGACUCUGCUCAAGUAGGCAUCAACGCCUCCAUCGACAGCAACGACUCGAGGCCCGGUGNNNNNNNNNNNNNNNNNNNNNNNNNNNNNNNNNNNNNNNNNNNNNNNNNNNNNNNNNNNNNNNNNNNNNNNNNNNNNNNNNNNNNNNNNNNNNNNNNNNNNNNNNNNNNNNNNNNNNNNNNNNNNNNNNNNNNNNNNNNNNNNNNNNNNNNNNNNNNNNNNNNNNNNNNNNNNNNNGGGGGGGGGGGGGGUGUGGAGAGAGAGACAGAGAGUUAUGGCAAGGCAUUGGUCUGGUACGAGGAGAAAUUGGGAAAGGUGGAUUCUGAGAAGGUGAAGAAAUGGAGACAAGCCCUAAUUGAAGCCGCCCAUUUGUCCGGUUGGCAUUAUUAUGUCGAUGGGUAAUCAGAGUAUUCCUGUUCGACCCUGUGGAAGAAUUGUUAAUUCUCUAAUCUGGUUAUUAUAUGAUGGCAUCGAUUAGUGCGUUAGAGUCAUGUUUUGGAAUGUUAUAGAGUGAUUGUUUACUUCGUGUUGGUUUUAGUUAGUCCGAUGGAUCGUAUAUUGCCAUUUAUUCCCAUUCUCAUUGCUACUUUGUUUUGGUGGAAAUGAGAACGAGUAUCAUGACUAUAGUAGGACGAGUACCCCUGAGUGUGCCCAAGUAUCCCAUCAGUAUAGGUUGCCGGGUUGAAAAGAUAAACUCGUUGUUAAGUACAGGCUUGGAUGAGGUUCGGAUGAUAGGAACACGGGGAACUGGGAGGUAUAGGGAAGACCACCAUCGCUAAAGCUGUCCAUAACAGUAUGGCUAGUCAGUUUGGUGGGUGCGGCUUUCUUGCAAAUGUUAGAGAAACUUCCAGUAAACCUGAUGGCCCAGUUCAUUUGCAAAAAAGCACUCUUAUCUGAGAUAUUUUGGAAAGAAAACUUAGCAGUCUUGAGUGUGGAUGGAGGUGUUGGUUUGAUAUGAGAUAGACUUUGCUGCAAGAAGAUUCUACUUGUGCUUGAAUGUGUGGACCAUGGGGACCAGUUAGAUGAUUAGAUACAGAGUGAAUGGUUUGGAAAAGGGAGAAGGAUCAUUGUUACGACAAGGGAUCACCAUGUACUAAAUUUUCAUGGGGCAGAUCAGGUACAUGAAAUUAAAACAUUGGAUCAAGGUGAAGCUUUUGAACUUCUGCGUCCAUUUGCUUUUCAAAGAAACUAGAUAAAAGACAUAAGCAGGGAUUUCAUAGAUAAUAUUUUGGGCUAAGCUAAUGGCCUUCACUUAGCAAUUGUGUUGUUGGGUCCCUUUUAUGUGGUAGAAGUAGAGGGGAAUGUGAGAGUACAUUAGGUAAACUUGCUGAAAGUCCUAAUAAAGAUAUAAACAAUGUUCUGAAGAAAAAGUUUGGUGCGAUGGAAAACAAUGAGGACAUAUUUUUUGACAUUACUUGCUUCUUUAAGAGGAGGGAUAGUCAUUAUGUAACCACAAUUCUUGAUGGUUGUGGUUUAAAGACAUUAAUUGGGAUUCAAAAUUUAAUAGAGAGAUCUUUUAAGAACAUCCAUAAUCAGAGAACAGCACAAAUGCAUGACUCAAUUCAGUUGAUGGGGUCAAGAUAGCGUGAAACAAGAGUGUUUAGAUGACCUUGGGAAAUGGAGUAGAUUAUGGUGCUGCAAUGAUGUUUUUGAAGUAUUUUUGGAGGAUAUUGUGAGAGCUUCUCCUGACACCAUUGAUAAUUUUGUCUUCUUUAAUUUACACGCCGUUACCUAAUUCGGGUAGUGUAGUAAUAAUUAUUUUCUUUUCCUUGAUAGGGAACCAAUGCUGUUAGAGGCAAAGUGCUGGACUUGCCAACACAAGUAGAGCUAGACAUCAAUCCGAGUGCUUUCACACAUAUGAGGAUACUGAGAUUGCUCCUAUUUCUAAAUGCACAGCUUAGCGGAGAUCCCGUAUAUCUUCCUAAAGAUUUAAGGUGGCUUGAAUGGCCUGAAUAUCUUUUAUCAACUCUAAAGUUUGGUACUAGUCUAAAGAAACUUGUUUGGUUUGAUGUGCAUAACAGCAGGAUUAAAGAAUUAGGAGAUAACUUAAAAGUACAUCAUACAUGCUUUUAUUGUCGGUUUCCAUUUUAGGUGCCUGUCAUAAAGUGAAAUUUAUCAAAAUCUUGUUCGGCUGUUCUUUUUAAUUUGCAGCAUUUUAAAAUUUGAAGUUCCUAAUUUUCAGCUGUUGUAAGUCUCUAAUUAGUGUUCCAGACUUCUCAAAGGUGCCAAAUUUGGAGGCAGUGAACUUAAGUGGGUGCUUGAACCUCAAGGUGCUUCCAAGCAAACCAAAGCUGAAAUAUCUUUAAAACUUGAUGUAACUAGCUGCUCUUGUUGGUAGGUCUGCCUUGAUAUCUAUCAUAAUCUUAUCUUGUUGGUAGGUCUGCAUUGAUAUCUAUCAUAAUCUUAUCUUGUUGGUAGGUCUGCAUUGAUAUCUAUUUGUCUUUUUUCCCCCUCAAAUAUAGUACGUUGUUUGUUUUUAUGUUGCUCUAGUAGCGACUUGUGGUCUUCACAGGUUUAGAAGUUCCAUGGUUGGAUCGUUGAAGUCAACUCUUGAAAACAGUAAUUAGCAGGAGACUCUAAUCAAGCCUAACAUAUUACGAGAGACAGCAGACCAAGGGGGGAGAGUUUGUGUUUGUAUUUGAAAAUAUGUGAAAUUCUUGUUAUGUGCCAUUUGAGAAGGUAACGCUAUUGGAGUUGUGAAUAUUUUUCCUUUCUGUAUACUACUAGAAAGAAUGAUGUGAACAUGACUUUGUUUUCUUAGUAAUGAGAGAUUAGAAAUGAGAAACUAAGUUUGAGAUGGAUGGCCUCAAUUGAAUGUCAGCUGAUCCCAUGUUUAUAAUGCAUCAAUUGUAGGUGCACAAAUGGACAAAUUCUCGCAUGCUAGAAUUGCUCGGAUGGAUGACCUACACAUCAGAGAUGGUGGGCAGCUUUGUUGAGUAAAUGGUACUCAGAGAGGACAUGAAUCCAAGAAGCUCACUCUCUCUACAAAGAAAUGGGUGAUGAUUCUAAGAAUCACAUACAGACAAAAGGCUUCUCUAGAAAACAGUCUAGAACAUUCUUGUACAAUCAAACUUUAGGAUUUUGCAAGUCUCAAUUGUUGAUCACGAACAAAAAUUAAGAAUCUCUCUCUUCACCUAUAAGAGAUUCCUUUACCUUCAACAUCACUCCUUUGUCCCGUGGAAAAUAGCUGAUCAAUAAUUUUUAAUUUUAAAAAGUUGUGUUGUGAUCCUCAAAAGAUUAAUAGUAUAAUAAGGUUGACAUUAUCCCAUGGUUUAGUCCUGUUAAAUAAAAAAAAUUCAUGAAUUAGUAUUAAGAAUAUAAACAUACCAUUUUUAUUUUUUUAAAUUCAAACGACUUCAUAAAUGCACAAGAUUAAAAUAUAGAAAAAGGAUACCUCAAAGAAUCUUAUGAAAUGUAUAAGAUCAGAAAUCUAUGUAAACGAAUAUGACAAUCAUAUAUGAGAAUUUCUUAAAUUGAACGAAGAUAAGCAUGAUUGGCUCAUGUUGAGUGUUGCGACAUUGAUUAUCAAGUCCAAUCCUCACAUAGGUACGAGUUGUCCUAGAUGAACAUACUUUGACCGUCAUUUACAAAGCACAAAUGUUGUAUAGAAUAUUCUCAAAUAGAAGAUUAAUUUAUGAACGAAAGGACCUUCCCCACAUUUAAAUAGUUUCUGCUUGAAAAGAAGAAGCUUUUGGUAGAUCAUGUAUGCUAGCCGACAGUGCACUUAAGUUACCCACUAGUGAGUCAUACAAAAACCAUUUUAAGAAUGAAGAUAAUUUUUAUAAUAAAAGGCAAAAACUGUAAGCGUCGAGACUCCAUUUUUAUUUCCUUUUUGGCUCCAUUAACUCCCGAAAACAUGAGAGUACCACCAAAUAAGAAGUCCAUUUUAUGAUAUGAAAUAGAGAAAAAGGAUAUCAAUAAAUUUACAAUUACCAUUUUCAACACUACAUCUUUGCUUUUCUUGCUUUUCUUUCGCUUAGUCUGUCGAGCCUUAAUCUUUUGCUUCUUUACUCUAUCAAUAUGACCUAUUUUUGAUUCCUUCCAUUUUGAUAUGGGACGCCCUUUAUGUCGAGUGAUAAGUUGAAAUGCAGAAUAUCGACCUAAUUUUUCAGGAACAUUUUUCAUGAUAUGCCCUAAGCACCAUUGAUGCUUAGGACCAGGGAACCGAUGAUCAACUGCACUUUGCAUUGCCUUGUCCUAGUCAGUGAUAGCAGCGAAUGGUGCUCGUCCUCCCAUCCGAAAGAGACAAUGAUUUGAACAACCAAACGAAUGUGUUAGUAUCCUCAUUCACACUCAUGAAAGGCGCGAAAGGCAUCUCAUACCAAUUGGUCAAAUAUAUCGUAUCACAGGUUACUACUUCAUCAAAACUUUCAUAUAAUGUCCAAGUUCUUGCACCUGCCAAGGAAACAUUCUUUAACCUGGGACUAUCAUCCAGCUCCAUUGCAUAGAAAAAAGGUCAUUUCUAUUUUGCAUCCUAACAAACAGUUAUGAUUGGCUUCACCAUCUUCUGUUCCAAGUCUUAACUUUCUUUGCCUUCACAAUAAAAUUUUGACGAUCUUUCUCACUGAAGGUAAGAUUUUUAUUCCCUCCUGCCUCGACAACAGACAAGUUAAAGUUUGUUGAUCCUUAUAUUAGCUGUAGAUGCAUAGACUUUUUCCAUGAAGAGAACAUGCAAGGGUUAAGUAUUUUACCUUAUCAUCAUCUGCGUUUUUCUAGCUCCUCCUAGAGACACCCAAUCCCACUUGUUUAUGCAUCUUUUAUCGUUCUCUAAUAGAUCCUCCGCAGAAUAAAAUAACUCUCAUUCCCUCGGUUUUAAUCACAUUUUCUUCGUCGAUUUGAUUUUAUUUUGUUUCAUCACCAGUAGCUUCUGUUUCACAUUCUUCUUUAUCAAAUAGUGUGUCAUCAUUCUACGCUUGUAAUGUUCACAUGAAAUCUUCUUGUGUUUGGUAAAAUUAUAGAAAGCAAAAAAUUCAGUAUGACAAUUAAUUAGAAAUAUAUUUAGACAGAAAAUCAUAAUCCGCGAUUUUUCCAAAUAAGAUAUGAUGCAAUAAAUGCAAUAGUAGUUUAUUCGUACAAUCCUAAACUGACUCCGUAGCUAAUCUAUUAUAACAACUUGUGCAUUCUGAAAAUAGAAGCAUAUGGCGCACGAACUAUAUGCAGAUCAAAGUCCUUUAACCACGUCUUCUAUUUAAUCAAAAUAUUUGGUGGAUGGAGGAGACAAAAGAGGUACGACCCAUCUCAGGCAAGCACAAAUUAUAGACAUAGAGAAACAUUAGUCAAAACGCAUAAGAUACAACACAAAAUGACGAAACCUAAUACAUAUUCAAUCAAAAGCAUGCUCCUGAAUCUUAAAAACCAGAAAAUUGUGUUCCAAAAAAUUCAAGAGUUAAAGAAUUUUUAUAUAUUAAAGCAAUCCAUGACGUCCAUGUGUAGCAAAUAAUUGGAUUGAUAUUUUCUAUUUCGUUGGAGAGUACAAGACGUUUCAAAUCAGAUAAUUGGAUAAUUUUCACCAUUAGAUAGAUAGAUAGAUACUCUGCAAAAAGUUGAUUUACAGGAAUUUAUAAAUGAAUUCCUCUGAAAUGUAAUUUUUUAUUUAGCUGAUGCUAUUUACGAAUUUCUUCCAUAUUUUUUAUGGCAUUGAAAUUUAUAUUUAAAUUAGUCUUUUCCAUUCAACAAGUUUUUGACAUCUUGAUAUCAAUUUUUCCGAAGCAUGGCCAACGUAUGUCCCUCAUAUGACUCUUAAAGAUCCAAUUAUAACAUGAACAUACAAUUAUCUCAUGUUCAAGUAUAUUUGGACGCAUGAAUCAUGAAAAAAAAAAUUCAAAAAAAGUCAACAGGUUCAAAAUAUUUGAACUAAAACUAAGGAUUAUGCCACGUAAAAUAAACUUUUGCGACCUCCUUGGACCCUCCCGCAGCUGUGGAGGCUAAUGACCUACUAAGUCUAGAUUUAAUUUGGGCUCUCUCAAGCUCAUCAAUUCGCGAUUUAUGGUCUAAAUUUUUAACAUGCAAAUCAUUUUCAUUUAUUAGUCGCUACUAAUCAGUUUGUGGUGGAUCAAUUAGAAACCAAAUAAAAUAUUAAGAUAAAUAUUUUACUUUUGCGCAACAAAAAAAAUUAGAAUUUGGGACUUGAUUGUACUAGUUAGUCAAUUAAUACUCUUUCGAAACCUAACCUUAUUUAAACCUUAGGUUUGAUUUUUUAUUUUAUUUUUUUGUGCAGGAUAUUUCAUGCAUUUUUAAGAGAAUAACCUUUUUUUUUUAUUUCCUAAUUUGAGAAUUUUUUCCGAAAUUCUUUUCAAAUUUUUUCUUUUUUAGAUUUUUUUUUUGAAAUAUAUGUUUUCAUAGUUUUUUAUUCCGAAAUUGGGACUCGGGCUUGGCCUUUGAGCCCAGUCCGAAUGUGGGCUGCCGCUGGUCUUCAGGUUGGGAGGCCUCACCCAUUAAGAGGCUUUUAAAAAACGAACUGGGCUCAAUCUUAUAGAUUUAAGCCCAACUCCAACAAACCGAGCUCGACCCAAAGCUAAUAUAAUGAGCCCAAGCCAGUUAGACGUGCGACCCGGGACCGACCCCGACCCAACCCAGGCCAACCCGACUAGUAGCCCCUCGCGUUCCCCUGCUCCCACGCAACGCCGACGCGGAUAGCCGUGGCGACGCCGCUCGUCUCGGCUUGGCCGCAUGGUUACUCCGCCAUCGCCUCGGCCAGCCAAAGCCGAGGGCUCGGCUUCCGCCUGGGUCCCCGUUUCGUGGCCGCGCUCGACGCCGCCGGGGGGGAGGUCUCGAAACGGCGAAACGGCCGACGCCCGCAAGCGCCAAACGUCACCGAGGCGUCUCGACCGGCCGAGAUGGUGUCCGGACAACUCGAUACCGUCCAAAAUAAGCAGGCAAGAACUAGGUCUAUCUCGGGCAUUCCGUCGAACGAGCACGCUGCUGAAACAUCGGGUUUUGGCUCCAUCGGGACUCAAACCAAAGGCUGAAGCUUUCGCCGAGCAAACAACAACACCACCACAGCAGCCAAAAGAGGGAGAGACGGGGCCGGAGUCCGCAUGAGCCGGGCGGCCGCGAGCUCCGGCCCGACGUACCCAAAACAGGGCAAAAACGGGGCUGGCUUACUGGAGCUCGUUUGAGGACGUCGGCGAGGAUCGGCGGGUGGCUUACGGGCGCGGUGGCCACCGGAGAAACUCCCCACUCUCGCCCUCAUCCUUCGCUUUCUCGAUCUCGAUCUCCCUCUCUCUCUCAUCCCUUGGGCCUCUCCUCUUAUAGGGCCAGACGUCCCGUGAGGGAAGGAAGAAGAGAAGGAGAGAAGGGAGAGAAAAGGGCCGGGGAGAAAAUGAGGAGAACUGGGCCCCGUCCCGGGCGGAGGAAAGAAAGGGGGCUGGGGUCAGGCCCUGCCCCCGAGUCCCGUCACGUCUUUCUAAUUUUUUAAAAUAAUAAUUUAAAAUUUUUAAAUUUUUAUCUGAAACAUAGAAAAAUAAAGGGAAAAUAAAAUAAAAAUAAAAUUUAGUUGAUGCAAAUAAUAUUAAUGACUAUGUGAUGUAAAAAUCUUUUCUUGUUAAGGCCAAAUUGAUCUCUAAUAUUCUACUCAAUUUAAUCAUAAAUAUUUAACCAAAUUUUAGGUGUCAACAAAAACUUGUUCAAUUUGUCAGCUAUUUAAUCAGCAAGUAGCCUUUGUCCCUUCAUGUUCUUAAGAUCCAUUUUUAGAAAGGAGCUAAACAAAAAUUGAUCUUCCCAUGUAAAAGCGUGCUUAAAAUGAUUAAAGGAAAAUACCAGUUUAUUGUGGUUUAUGAACACGUUGUUUCUAAGAAACAUUUUAAAAAGUCUUUAGAAUAUUCAUGAAAUGACCAAGUAAUAUAUGGUUAAGUGUAUUGAUGCUUGUUAUAAAAAAUAAUUCUUGACAAUGCAUAAUUUCAUCAAAGAAGGCCAGAAAAAUCUAUGGUCUCUAAUUCCUAUGCAGAAGAACACUCCGAACCUUCUGUUAGUUUUUCGUCUGUCUACCAAUGAGUUAUUCUGAAAUGGUGGAAGAUAGGGGUGAGCAGCGGUGGAGGUGGAAAAUUUAGAAAUUUUUUUGGCUGGACACGAUUGGUUUGUGCAAGAACUGACUCUAGAGGAAUGUGCCCAAUAUGAACUAGAGGACAACAAUGAGAUUGUAUCAUCUGAAUUAAGGUGGAGGACAAGACAUGAAGAUACCUAAUUUAUUAGACAUUCUCUUUGGUGUAAUUUGUGUGUAGUUGUUAUUAGGGCACCGUUACGCGUAACUUUCUUUUUUCAAAUUACUUGGAGAUAUACUUGUCUUUCAAUUUGGUUUAAUUAGAUGAGUGCUUUUCUAUAAAAAAAAAAUUUCUAAAUUAAUUUUUUAAAUUUGAGAAAAAUAGUUUAGUUUUUUUGAAUUUUUCAUUCGAAGAAUUCAAAUUAAUCUAGAAAAAGAAAUGGGCCCAGAUCAACCAAGCCGAGAACAGCCCUUUGGCCCCUCCUAGCCGGCACCGCAGAAGGACUAGCACUUUAUUCCACCAGGCCUUUCGCCGUAAGGUUUUUGCAGUUGACGUUGUCCAUGCUCCUUAGGACUCGUGGGGUAGGCAACUUUGUUGGGGAUAACUGCAGUAAUGAAUAUCACACAUGGGCGGCAUGGAAGCUAAAAUUUCAUCAAGAUCAAAAAUUUCAAGUGGCUUAAUUGUCUUGGCAAUCCAAGUGAUUCUUCGUUCUCUACCACUAGUGCACUUGCAACACAUGUCUCCUCGUAGGCUUUUGUUAAUCCAGACAAGGAUGUUAAAACAACUUCUUCCUUACCCAUCAUUAAUGGUGCAAUUGUAAUCUAUAUACCAUCCUUCUCGAAGGAGUAAGUGUAUCCGUGUCCAUCAUAAAUAGUUCAAUGUUAAUAUUGCCACGAUAGUCUAAGUAGCAUAUGGCACACAUCCAUUGAAAUCACAUUAUACCAUAGUUUGCCGUGAUAUUUAUUUACAAUAAAAAAUUGAAUUAAUGAAGUUAAAGACCUUUCCUUCAUUCUCCUCCCUUAACUAUUGUGAUCUGUCAGGGUGGGGAUGAUCUUUCAUCGGCAACUUCAACUUCUCGACCAUUAUAGCUGCUACAACAUUCUUGCAAUCUCCUCCAUCCAUAAUACAAUCACAAGCCUUGCCAUGUGAUUUGCACUUUGCAAGGAAAAUAUUGUGGUGCCCUAUGUUGGUCACCUCUCUCCGACUUGUCUUUCUCUUUCAAGCUAGCAUAGAUCACCUCCUUCACCAACAUACUCAUACACGCAUCUCUCUCUCUCUCUCUCUCUCUCUCUCUCUCUCUCUCUCUCCCCCUCGCAUGUGCAUACGAAUCACAAAUUAAAAAAAAAAAAAAAAAUUCACAAACUUAUUUAUAGAAAAAUAAUCUGUGAUUUGCAGGAAAAAAAAGUCAUUAAGUUUAAUUUUCUGAUUUUACAUCAAAAUCCACACAAUUUCACUGAUAAGAGCAAACUAUUGAACAUGAAUUUAGUGGGUCAACAUUUAGGAUCUUUAUCAUCUCACCAAAUAUUUGGAAUUGAUGGAAGAGAGAGUGAUGAUCAAGCUACUUGUGAUAUUGGACAGCUGCGUUUGAUUCGGCUUUUCCAAGUAGUUUUGGAGAAAGCAAUUUAGCCUAAAGGGCUUUGAAAAAAAAUGCAAAAACUGUUUAGUAAACUUCGCUUUGAGAAGUAAUUUUGAGACAACUGUUGUUUGGUAGAAAACACAUUUGAAAAGCCCAUGUGAAUGAUUAAUUUAAAAUUUAAAAUUUUUAUUUGUUUAAAAUUGAAAACAUUAAUGUUCGCAACUUUUUAAAUUUAAAUUUUGACAACAAUGUUGAAAAUAUAAUGUAAAAAUUUUUUUUAGAAAAAUAAAAUUUCUUUGUUUUGGCUCAAAAAAUUUCAAAUGGAAAAAUUUACAUCAAAAUGGUCUAUUUCUCAAUCAAAAAAAGAAUACUUUCAUUGCAAUAAACAUAUUAAAAUAUGCCCCUAGAAAAGAAAAUUAUUAUCCUUAAAAAUUACAAAUAUUCUUAAGUAUUUCAUAAGCUCAUGACUAUUUGAUCAUAUAUGUGCCAUAUCAGAAGAAGUUGCAUCACUAUUUGGAGCAUUACCCUCCUCAUUUACAUCAUCAACAAUUGUGCACCUUACUUUGACAAGUAAAUUCCAAUUCGGAUGAAAUAAUGAGGGAAUAAAAGAAAUUACGGGGAUUUGUAUCUGUCAAUUUUCAUUGAGUAGGCACAAAACCAAACUUCCCCAAUUUUUUGUUUGUAUCCAAGUUCAUGGCACCACUUUGCCACAAGAAACGAUCUAUGUAGCUGAAGCAAAAUAAAAAUGAAUUUGCAGAUGUCUCUCAAGUCAUCAUCUCAAAAGAUCCUCACCCAACUGAAAUAAUGGACAUGAACCAAAAUAAGCUUUCAUUAUGUGUUACCACAAGAAGAGCAAAAAUGCACGCUUGUUUUAAGUGACUUCUCAACAUAUUACAAUCAUUAACUAUGGACAACAACAAAUGAUAAAUUUAUCUUUGCAGUUGCCCUAAAAGAAAGGCAAACCUUUGCUUGCUGCUUCUUGUUAGCCUCAUAUCAUGGACAAACAAAAAGCCAUUCACAUUGAUGAAAGCGGAGUAGCUUGUGCAUCAAAUUCAAGAGCAUCUGUACCGUGCACUGCAAAGAGAUCAACUUGAAUCUCAAGCUCAUGAACAUAUUGUGCGGAAUAUGUCCAGAUGACAAUAGUUUAUCAUUGCUGGCAAUCAACUAGAGACUUCACUGGAGUUCCUCUUGCUCAAGCCUCAUAAAUCAUCACGGUUAGGCUGCCCACAAAGGCACAUCAAAGGAUUUGCACAUAAGUAAUCCUCCUCCUUGGGCUCAUCAACAAUAACUCUAUAACUCUAUGAUGACUUGGUUGUGACAUCUUCUCAUGUGCUAGAUGUACAGCAACUUCAAAAUUAUCAUAUGAAAGUGUCCCAUAUUGAUGCAAAUCCAGUAAAGCUACAAGCCUUUAAUGAUCUAAGAGAAGGGUUCUCUUAAAUCCAAAAUAUUUACAAAGAAUGUCACAAAUUGCACACAGCUUUUUGAAGGCAAAUGGUAUAGGCCUAAUUAAUUUGACUUGUUCUUCCAAGGGAAAUAAUGGAAGAACAUCAAUCAAGUUAACACACAAAUAAACAAUCUCAAAGGUCCUAAGAUAGGAUUGCAAUCAACAAUUAACCAAUUGGUUAACAUCCCCUUCUCACAUUCAAUCAGGACAAAUCCACUGCAAUCGACAAUUGACCAUAUGUGAUCUCUCAGUACAUACUCAAAACAGGACAAACAAAAAUCAAUUCUUUGUUGCAACCCAUAAAAAGACAUACAAGAAUCAUGUUGGUGACAGGAAAAAAAAAAUCAUCAUGAGCAGCACUAGUGGCGCUUCAGAAGAUUUCCAUUUCGUGCAUGCGAUUUUUUCAGGCUUCAAUGAGAUUGAUAUUCGGCAGGUUUGAUACCACUAGUUCGGCAUUUAACGCAUUGAUAUAAUAGUGUUCUAACGAACUCGUAGGCUGUCAACACGAAGCCAUAGCUGAAAUUCAACCAUUAUUUUAGAUUCGAUCGCCACACCAGCAUAAUAAUCAAACAUGUAGACAACACAAGUCGCAGACUGCGCAAACAAAGCCCCAAUUAAAAAGCAAUCGAACAUUAAAUACAUAGAGCACGAGACAUGAGCCAGCGAUCAACAGCCAAGCAUCUGGAAUUAACGAAACAAAUGACAACUGCGAAUUACCCACAACGCGUUGGAGGAGCAACAAUGGCGAGUCCGCCGGCAGAAAGUGCCUGGCCUGCCAUUGCUCCGUCAACUUGAACUAAUCGAAUUCUCUCCGGUUGCCUCGGUCAUCAACCUCUCCAACAAUCAUCACCACAUCAAUCACCGCGAUGAGAACCAUCAGGCAAAGGAGAGACGAAGAAGAAGCCAUUGAUGGAGAGAGACACUAUGAUUGAGUGAAGCGGGCGCAACUGAUUCACAUAAUGCACGGGGGUAGAUCUAGGGUGAGCAAAUUGAAAAGGGUGAGCAAAGCGGAGCGAACGAAGUGCAGGGUCGAGCGGGGAGGGAGCGGAGCGAAGAAGGCAGUGUUUGUGGAUCUAGGCUUUUAAUUCUUUCAAAAGGGGGCAAAUUUGGAUUUUUAGUUAGGUUUUAAGGACAAAAUAAGCAACUCACUAAUUUUCAUUAAAUCAGCCUUUCAGUAUUCCAAAAAUGCCGAAAAUCGAAACGAGUCUCCACUUGCCUUGAACUUUUAGCAUUUCCAAUGACACACUUUCACUUGAAAGCUCUUUGGGAUGUUGCCAAAUAACCCAAUAUUUUCUCAAGAGGUUUUGGAGAUUGAAAACCCUUCGAGAAGACUGAACUAAAUACACCCAACAUAUAUUCUAGAUAAUCUACUAUAAAUGAUUUAUCAUCUUUUAAAUAACAACUCUCAGUUCCCCACCAUGUAAAGAAUCGCAAAAGUGACUUUGAUUAUUCUCCCUUUCAACAUUUCCUUUACAAAUUUCCAGCUGCAAACCCAUAAAGAUCACAACAUUGAAAUAAACCUUCCUCGAGGUUUUGAAUCAUUACACACUUGUUUUUUUCUCUUUGGACAAAACCCCCUUUCUCUCAGUUUCCCAUGUCUUUGGCGACUUGUAGAGUAGGCCGAAUUCUCCUUUCAUGACCAUUGUAGAUGGUAACGAUGCCCCUUGAAUGAUUAUUCGAAAAAAUAAUAGGCCGGCUUCUUCUUUCAUGACCCUNNNNNNNNNNNNNNNNNNNNNNNNNNNNNNNNNNNNNNNNNNNNNNNNNNNNNNNNNNNNNNNNNNNNNNNNNNNNNNNNNNNNNNNNNNNNNNNNNNNNAGCUACAUUAGGUUGGUUGUUUGCCGGGCCUCAAUCGAAGGCAAUAAUAAUUACGUAUGGAUUUUGCAUUAUCUUUCCUUUGUUGGUUCUUUUCUUCUUCUUGGGAGCACUUCAUUUCUUCUUAGGCAUGCUUAACAAAUGUCCUCCUUGACAUGUCUUAGUUUAAUAUAGUGUCCUGUGACAACUUUGCAUUUCUUUCCACAUUGGCACCAUCACGGCCUAUAUGGAGCGGCAAUAUGAAAUUGUAUCCUAAAAUUUAUGCUCGUGUCCUUUUGCAUGUAAAUCUUCAUGAUCUAUUAUUCUUAGACCGAAUUGUUGUUGCUCGCUUCAUUUAAUUUGACAGCUUGGGCACCUUAUAUUAUCCAUGUCUUUGUCGUCUAUCAUGUUAGAAUGUCGGAGGCCAAGAUAAUUGAAGACAUCGUCAAAAAGAUCUCUGAACUGAAAAUGUACGAUGUGCUUCUGAGCUUCAGAGGUAAGGAUGUCCGUGAGUACUUUGUUAAGGGUCUAAACGAGGCCUUGGCGCAAAAGGGCAUAAAGACUUUCAUGGACAGCGAGAACUUACUGAUGGGCCAGGAUUUCCCAUCGAAACUGAAGGAAGCCAUUGAACAAUCUCGCAUGUACGUUGUCGUUUUCUCAGAAAACUACGCUGAAUCUUGGUGGUGUCUGAAGGAGUUGGUGCAGAUCCAAGGGGAGAAGAACAGAACAAAACAGCUGCUGCCGAUAUUUUAUAAGGUGGCACCGGGGGAAGUAAGGGGACAGAAUCCACGGGAAGUGACUGGAAAGAAACAGAGUUAUGAGAAAGCAUUGACCGACCAUGAAAGCGAAUUUGGGAAGCGCAAGGUUAAAAAAUGGAAGGAGGCUCUCUCUAAAGCUGCCAAUGUGAAUGGAAUACAUCUGCAUGAUGGGUAAGAUUUCGAACACAUUCACCUUUCUCCUUUUAGAAAUAAUUUCUACUGUUGGGUAGAGGAAGUGUUGAGACUUGGGUAGCUAAAUGCAUGAUGAAGGGUCCCAACAAUAGACCGAGCCAACCAACCCUAUGACAUCGAUUUAUGCCUUGUUUUUGUCGAGUAUAAGUGAAGGGCCACUGUGUUGACGUAUCAUUCUAUUAUGAUUGCUGACAUAUGCUUCGAGUGGGAAAGAGAACUUGAAAUUUGAAAGUUGAGUUGAGUCCAAUGCAUCCCAUAAGAAGUUUUCCGCAAUUCCAUGCAUUAAAUAUGUCGAUCAAAUCAAAUGAUCCAUAUUCAUCAGCAUCAAUAUGUCCAUUAUCCAGCAAUUGCAAAGUUAUACAGUCAAGUCCUCAAAAUAAAUUGAAGGGCAUGUAUCAAAGCUUGGAUUUCGUUGAUUUGCUCAAUAGGAGCAUAUGCUUUUCUCAUUCUCCAAUUUGAAGUGGCCAAUAUAUAUAUUUUAGUAAUUCAAUAAAUUUUAUUGUUACAUAAGCCAAUAUUAACUAGAAAAGACUCAACCUAAUCAGAAACACUCUUGGCCCGUGAAUGUGCUUCUUGUGAAUGUGGGAUUCUGAUGUUCACUACAUGCUAGUUGAUGGCUAUAUUUCAUAAUAUUCAUAUUUUUCUCGCUUUUUUGUUUUGACAGGAACAUGCAUGGUUGCAUCCCUAGGAUUGUUAAAGAGAUAGAGAAGAUGAUGCAAAGGAUCGAAUGACAGCUAGGAUGAAAAGGCUCAAAAUGUCAGUUCCAUCAAAUAGAAUAUAAUUUCAUUACACUGGAGAUUGUUGUAUGAUAUUACUCUUAAAUGUCACCAAUAAAAAUGGUUGCUUUUCCUCUUUCCUCUCUAGGGUUUCUCCUCUUCAUCUUAUCUUCACGCAGCUUUCUUCUUCAACCUCCAUGGAGGGGAGGGUUUAAGCUAGCGUCCCCUCCCAUUUUUCCUUUCUCUUUGGCUGAUUUUGUUCUCUAUUAUAUUUUUCUUGCUUUCCUCUCAUUUUGCAGAGCUUUCCUUUUCUGAUUUAGUUUAGAUUUGGAAGCUCCUCUCUCCCAUUUCAGGAAGGUUUCUAUCUCUAUCCAAUCUAGAUUUGGGGAUUUUUGCAUGUAUGAUUUCAGGACUUCACUUUCCUUAGGUUUCGUUGGUGUACAAGUCCAACUCAAAGGAAAUUGGAGGAGCUUCAUUUCGAUCUCACAUGUGUCAUAUCUAUGCUUGACGAUGGUGUUGAGGAUGCUGAACCUAGGUAUGCACUGUCAAAAGAUUUGCUGAACCUAGGUAUGCACUGUCAAAAGAUUUGAUUGAGCAAAACUUACUAUUUCAUAAUUCUGAAGUAUGAAGUAUUGGCAAUAAAUUGGAUUAAGAGCAAUGACCAAGGUCUAUUUGAUAAAUUCUAUAGAACAACUUGGAAAACCACGGCCAUUCAACAAGCACUUUGGAUUAAUGCAAUUUGCAUCACAAUCCAUAAAGAAAGAGGGAAAAAUAGUUCCUCAACCAGUGUCAAUACUAGUAAGCAUGAUGCGAAAUCUAUAUUUCAUAGUGAUUUUAAUUUAAAUCAAAGGAGCAUACAUUCAAAAUUUUCUAGUAGAGAUUAAUAAAGGGAAAAGUAAAAGGCAUUGGAAUCAAAAUCAUCCAAUUUGCUUCCCCUAGAAUCACUUCCUCAACAAGUCGUCACCAAUCCAAACAAGCAUGUUUCGCAAGCCAACACGCAAAUAACAGUUGGUGCAAGUGGAACCCAUGGUCUCGGCAUAGUUAAGACCAUCUUUCUUCUUUGUUAAAUUGUUCAGCUUUCCUCUACAUCUACUUCUCUUGGAAUAUCUUCUUCCUCGGUGUCUAUUGUUUUCGUUUAAGUCUCUUUCCUUGAGAAUCCAAUUAUUUUCUAUCGGGUGAUAGUGUUGGAGCACGACCUUAGAACAUCCUCCUGUUGCUAGCAUUUUAGAUGAAAUCAACACUUCUUUAAGCUUACUUUUGAUGCUCUGAGGCGAACUUGGAAAUGGCUCCAAUCGUUUCACAUAUGCUUCUCAACUUCAGACAAACUACCACGCAGGAGAUAUUCAUGCCACACCUGAUUGGAUUCCAACGAAAUCAGGCUACUCACAUGCCAAAUCACCUUUGGUCACAUAUUAAAUAUAUGGACGUCACACCAAAGCAUCGGCCACAUAUUAAAUAUAUGUACCAUUAGUUCUUUUAACUUUUUUUAUAGCCAAUUGAGAUCUUAAACAAUCCAAUUUUAUUUUAACGAUGCUAGAGUUACUAGAAUUUGAUAUCUUGUGAUAUGCUAACGAGGUGACAGUUUUUUUUUUUUUUUUUGAAAAAAUGAGGUGAUGGUUGACGUGGCAGAUUACGUGGGCAUUUGAUACAACGCCUAGUAUCGCGAGCAAGGAAUAUAAAAAGAAAAGCAUAUCAGAAUGGUUGAAGAUCAUGAAAGCGAUGGCUUUAAAGAAACUCGAUUGAUCUCUGGUGCAUCGCGACUCUCCUUUGCUGCCGAGUUACUCGAGCAAAGGCCAUGGCACAAUUACAAAGUGAUAAUGCAAUACCGCAGUGGAAAUUACGAUUGGUGAGGCAGAGAGAGAGGGUGAUAGAGUCCCCUUGGACUGCUUUGUUCAGUCCCAGAUUCCACGAGCGAAGAUUGGAAGAUCAUUAUCUGUGAAGAUAAAUAAUGGCUUAGCCGUGGACUGAGCGUUUAGAGCUUCGAAAGCCAUUGACAACUACGUGAACAAGAUCAUCUCCUACCGCCAGUGCGUGUCCCUUCUCACUUUCGUCUGAAGAAACCCCCCUGGGUGACGUCCACCUGAUGUUUGUGAUUUUGCCUCCCUGAAUCCAGCUUUAAACCACCCGAGAAAAACCAAACUCAUUGUUUUUAAAUCAAGGAUUCAAAUGUUUUGACUACCAGUUUUGUGAAAAUUAGUGCUAUUAUUUGUUUUUUAAAAUACGUAGCAGCUUGUUCCAAAGCAAAGUGACAUUCAAUCUAUUGUAAAAACUUUUGGAAGGAAUGCAGCUGUCCCUCGGUGUAAUGCUGGAAUUAAACCGGCGUAACGUAGUCAUGUCUUGUAGACUAGUCCUCGAUGAGAAUUGUUCUUAUGGUGCUUGGGAGGCAGAGUCUAUUAUAAUUUCAUCUUGUUGGUAGGUAUGCAUUGAUAUCUAUUUGUUUUUUUUUUAUUCAAAUAUAUUAUGUUGUUCGUUUUUAUGUUGUUCUAGUAACGACUUGUGUUUUUCAUAGAUUAAGUUCCAUGGUUGGAUCGUUGAAGUCGACUCUUGAAAACAGUACUUAGUAGAAGACUCUAAUCGAGCCUAACAUAUCACAAGAGAGACAGCAGAUAAGAGGGGGAGAGUUUGUGUUUAUAUUUGAAAAUUUGUGAAAUUCUUUUUAUGUGCCAUUUGAGAAGGUAACACUAUUGGAGCAGUGAUUAUUUUUCCUUUCUAUGUACUGCUAGAAAGAAUGAUGUGGACAUGAAUUUGUUUUCUUAUGAAUGAGAAAUUAGAAAUGAGAGACUAAGUUUGAUAUGGAUGGCCUCAAUUGAAUGUCAGCUGAUCCCACGUUUAUAAUCCAUCAAUUGUGGGUGCACACAUGGAAAAAUUCUUGAAUGCUAGAAUUGCUCGGAGAGAUGGCCUACACAUUAGAGAUGGUGCGUAGCUUUGUUGAGUAAAUGAUAUUGAAAGAGAACGUGAAUCCAAGAAGCUCACUCUUUCCGAAGAAAUGGGUGAUGAUGCUAAAUAACAUAUACAUAUAAAAGGCUUCUUUAUAAAGUAGUCUACAAUAUUCUUAUAAAAUAAAAGUUUAGGAUUUCGCAGGUCUAAACUGUUGAUCACAAACUCUUCACCAAAAAAAAAAAAAAAAAAAAAACUGUUGAUCAUAAACUUUUGGCCAUUUCCCCUUUCCUCAAGUACUGUUCACCACUGUUCUCUCUAGCUUGGGAGCACGAUUUCCUGUUCCGCUGGUCGGGCUUUGGCUGGUUACAGGAGUUUCUGUUGUUCGUUGGUGUUGAUUUUUGGAGGCUGGACACGUCCUGCCCCCCUCUUCAUCUCCACCAAGGUGAUUCACAUGGUACACCUUCUACAAGUGACAAGAUCAUAUUAGGUUUUUGUGGGUAUUAUCUGUCUGCUGGUUUGGUUGCGCUGCACACCCAUCUGGGCUAUGGAUACAUCUGCGAAAAUCUUGGUACCUUCAGCACAUGAUGCGAGCAUAGUUCUGAAGCCCAAUGCAGGUUCCCUGCCCCUACCUAUGAAUCCCAAUUUUGGGAAAAUUUUAACUGAACAAGGGUCCCCGACUCUUGCUGUGCGUACGAGUAGACAAGGCCAAAGUAGAGGGAAGGAUGUCUCAUUGCCUACUGCAAUGGACAACCCCUUGGCCUCAGCUGCUCCUUUGCACCCCCCCCCCACACAUAUAUCUCAGCUGCUUCAUUGCAUCCCACCACGAUCCCUGCAAGUGAGAAUGCGAUUUCCUCUAUUCUGGCCGAGGGAGCUGCUGCGAAUGAAGGCCAGACAAGCACAAACAAGGUCCAUCAAGCAGCUGGCAUUAAACGAGAUCGAAGCUGAAACAGGUUCUCCACUAACCUUCCCAGCCCCAUGUUUAGCAAUCUAGGGGUUCAAAACCCCCCACCCAAUCAUUCUUGGGUUAAUGUUGCCAAGUCUGCAAUAAAAGGGUAUGACCUUGCCUUUGUGCCCCAACUAUUAUUGACAACAAACCUAUUGUGAACUUAUUUGAUGAAAUUUUAGAAGCGACUGACCCGAAAUGCAAUGAAUGCGUUGUCGGUUACUAUGUGGGGAAGCGGCUUCCUUUCAAGCUCAUCGAAGUAGCCUUAAAACAUGCUUGGGGACCUCAACUUGCUGAAGUAUUGGCAAAUGAUGAAGGAUUCUACUUCUUUCAUGUUCCUGACCGUGAAUUCUACAGGAAAAUCCUUGAUGAGGGGCUAUUAACAGUAGCCAGGGUCCCUCUUAUCCUGCAACAAUGGCAUCCUCUUUUGGAGCUGAAGAAGGAGCACCAGUCCUCUGUCUCGGUCUAGGUCAAAUUGAAGAACAUUCCCUACGCUUUCUGGUGUGCUCCAGGGAUUAGUGCUGUGGCAAGCGCGAUUGGAAAAUAGCUGUAUGUUGAUCUUCAGAUGAAGCAAAUGAAGAUGAUUUGUUUUGCCAAAGUGUGUGUGGAGAUAACUACUAAGCAAUCUCGAUGUGACUCGGUGGAUGUCAUCUUAAAUGGGGAAACUCGCACCAUUGCUAUAGAAUAUGAGUGGAGGCUGGUUUCCUACCAAAACUGUGGCACUUUUGGCCACAAAUGUGCUGCUUAAGCAAAUCCAUCUGGCCCCAUUGAGGCCCCUCAGCAUGCACCAGCCCGUGCAGUCACUACUAUCUAAGGCCCUAUACUUGCCUCUGCAUAGAAACGACCCUUAUUCCAGGUGCUCUGGAGGAAGGAUGGAAAUAGGUCCAACCAAAAAAGAAAAAGCAAUCUUUGAUGCCAAAGGAAGCAUAUCCAAUUCAAUAUGUGAAGCUAAGUGAAGCAGUUCCAAAUCAAUCUGUGAAGCCAAAUGACACCACACCGGUUAUUGCAACGCAACCUCUUGCAUCCCGAACGGCCCAGAAGGAACAAAAAAUGCUGCCAAAGUACAGUGAUGUCUUGGUACCUUCAUCUUCUGCCAUUAAAGCUCGUCAUGUGGGAACUACCACCCCAGUCCCAUCAUCUAGCUCGGAGGAAGAAUCGAAGGAUGCUGCAAGCAAUGUGGUAGCUCGAACAAGGAUGACCACAUCUCGAAUAGCUCUUUUGCUCCACAAGAUUUAAUUCCACAGGAAGUUAAUCUUGCUGUUCUAAAGCUUGCUUUCCAGCAGGAUAAGACCUUGCAGGCUCCCUGUCCAAAUCCAACUCCUUCUGCUCAAACUAAGUAGGUGGCCAAUCGAUGGGGGUAUGGACAAGCGGCACUAACCCUCUUGUCCAUCUUUGUAUAUAUAUAAAUAUACAUAUAGGAGUAUGGAACAUUAUGGGUCUUGUGGAUCCCAUUAAACAAGCUGAAGUUAGAAACCUUGUUAGCACUAAUAGUCUUUGUUGUGUUGGUUUACUAGAAAUAAAAAUCCCAGCGUCCCUCUUCCCUUCCAUCGCGGCAGGACUUUUAACAGGCUGGAACUGGUGUUCUAAUUAUGAAUACUCCCCUAGAGGGAUAAUUUGGGUAGGGUGGAAUCCAUCCCUUGUGAAUUUUACUAUGUCUUCUUCCCAUGCUCAAGCAAUCCAUGGCAAGCUUAAGCUCCUAAGUACAGGUUAUGAAUUCUGCCUCUCUAUUAUCCAUGAGGAGCACACCUUUAUAUCUCGUCGACCAUUAUGGGCAGAGCUUAUUCAUACUAGUGCUAGCCUAAUGGAUUCCUUGGUUAGUGGCAAGGGAUUUCAAUGCUAUUCGGGACUCUUAUGACCGUAUAGGUAGUUCGGAUACAUGGCUCCCUUCCUAUGAUGAGUUUGGGCAAUACAUAACCCAAGCAGAACUAGAAGACCUAAGAUAUCACUUGGUCUUCUUCAUCGAGCGCUAACCGGAAGCUAAAAAAGAUUGAUAAAGUGCUUGUAAAUACGAAAUGGUGCCAUGACUUAUCAUUCUUGGAAGCCUCCUUCCUUGCCCUGGGCAUCUUCAAUCAUACUCUCAUAGUCGUCAUAGUCAUCGUCCCUUCUAUCUAUAGAAAACCCUUAAAGUUCUUUAACCUUUGGAUGAAGCACUUGGCCUUUCACACAAUUGUUGCUCAAGUGUGGGAAAACCCGGGGGUGGGAACACCCAUGUUCAGGCUGUGUUGUAAACUAAGAACCCUUAAAGGCCGCCUCAAGCAGCUCAACAUGAAUUCUUUCUCCACUAUCUCUACUAGAACAACAAAUGCAAGGAAUGCCCUCCGGAUCACCUAGGACGCCCUCUAGCAAGACCCGAACAACUUGUUGCUUGCAGAACUAGAAAGGAAUCAUCUUCGGACCUUCUUUGAUCUGUAACUACAGGAUGAAUCCUUUUACGGAUAUAAAUCUAGGGUCUAGUGGAUUAAGGAAGGUGAUCAAAACACCAAAUUCUUUUACCAUUUUGUCAACAAAAGACAUUUGAGAAACAUAAUUAUCUUGGUUUUGAACACUUCUAGUAAUCUAGUGACAAAUCCUGGUAUGGUGUAGCAAUUAUUCAUACCACUUUCAGGACCUCCUGGCGCCUAUAGAUCUUCCUUCUCGGCCAGCCUUGCAAGAGAUUCAAGCGGUACCACAACACUCCCUGAAUGCGGAACAAGUACAAACCCUCUCUUGUCUUGUGAUUGAGCAGGAAAUUCAUGAUACCCUAUUCUCUCUAGUUGUUCGCAAGGCUUCAAGACCAAACAGGUUUAAUGUUGAGUUUUUCAAAAGCAACUGGGAUGUCAUAGGAUCGUCAGUCAUAGUAGCGGUCAAGGAUUUUUUUAUCUCCAAGAAAUUGUUGCGUGAGAUAAACAACACAAUUAUAACCUUAGUGCCUAAAAUCCCUAAUGCGUUUGCAGUUUCUGAUUAUAGUCCCAUUGCUUGCUACAACACAAUCUACAAGUGCAUCACCAAGAUUCUAGCUAAUAGAUUGGCGACUGUCCUUCAAACCAUCAUUAGUACACCUCAAAAUGCUUUUGUUAAAGGUCGUCGAAUUAGUGACAACAUCUUGCUGGCCCAAGAAAUUUUCAAUGGCUUCCACCAUGACUCAUAUUCGCCAAAAUGUGCUAUCAAAGCAGAUUUUCAGAAAACUUACGAUACUAUUGAUUGUGAUUUCUUGGAACUAACUCUCCAUGCUUUUGGCUUUCCCAAUCAAUUGGUUGGGCUUAUUAUGAUCUGUGUCUGUACCCCUAAGUUCUCCAUAUCCAUUCAUGGGGAGCUUCAAGGAUUCUUCUCCAAUGGCUGUGGAUUAAGCCAAGGGGACCCCAUGUCUCCUUACCUCUUCACCUUGGCUAUGGAGGUAUUCUCGAGGAUCCUACACCUUCAAUCCAGACAACCGGGAUUCAAGUACUUCUGGAGAUGCAAAUCAACUUGCUUAUCCCAUUUAUUCUUCGUAGACGAUAUUUUCCUAUUCAGUGAAGUAAAUAUGACCUUUGUAUCUCUCCUCAAGGACAGCUUAGAAACCUUCUCUUCUUGGAGUGGAUUGAGACCCAAUAUGAACAAGAGUGAAGUUUUCCUUACAGGUGGAACGGAUAUAUUUCAAACCCAAAUUCUUCAUGCCCUCGGAUUCCAAGAAGGCAACAUGCCAGUCCGUUGCCUGGGGGUCCCCAUCUUCACUUUGCGGCUUGGUAGGUCAAACUAUAAUUCCCUUGUCAACCUCAUAACAGCAAGAGCGCAAUCAUGGGCACAUCGUUUUCUCUUGUUCGUGGGCCGCCUACAAUUUAUUAGGUCAGUCCUCCAUUCAAUACAAGUCUAUUGGGAUAGUAUUUUCAUGUUACCUAGAGUUAUGCUGGACCGAAUUGAACAAAUAUUUAGACAAUUUCUCUAGAACGGCCCAGGCCUUGGGAGUGGGGGUGCGAAAGUAGCAUGAGAAGAUGUUUGCCUCCCAAAAAAGAAGAAGGAGGGCUUGAUAUACGUAAACUUCGCAAUUGCAAUACGAUGGCUAUGCUUAAACUUCGUGAUUGGUAGGUCAAAUUGUAAUUCCCUUGUCAACCUCAUAAUAGCAAGAGCGCAAUUGUGGGCACAUCGUUUUCUCUUGUUCACAGGCUGACUAUAGCUUAUUAGGUCAGUCCUCCAUUCAAUACAAGUCUAUUGGGCUAGUAUUUUCAUGUUACCUAGAGCUGUGCUAGACCGAAUUGAACAAAUACUUAGACAAUUUCUCUGGAAAGGCCCGGGCCUUGGGAGUGGGAGUGCAAAAGUAGCGUGGGAAGAUGUUUGCCUCCCAAAAAAAGAAGGAGGGCUUGGUAUACAUCAACUUCGCAAUUACAAUAUGGUGGCUAUGCUUAAACAUAUCUGGAUCCUUUUCACGAACAAAGAAUCCCUAUGGUGUAAAUGGAUUCAUUCUACUUACUUAAGCCAACUUUUUGCUCCUGGGCUUAGAGAAAGUUACUUGAUCUCAGGAGGGAUUUCCAGCAGUCCUUUAAAUGGCGUGUGGGCGAUGGCCUCUUGGUGUCUCUAUGGUUUGACCCUUGGCACCCUCGAGGACCCCUGAAUAUGUUCUUCACGGACACCUACACCUAUCCCUCGGGUUUAUCCAGGCAAGCUACAGUUGCGGAUUUAUUCUCCACACCAAGUCAAGCUACCAAGGCCAUCGUGGAAUCUUGGACGCAUCCCCUCCCAAUACUCUCAUAGAACCUUGACCAGUUAAUUUGGCUAGAGCACUCCUCAGGUUCUUUCUUGAUUGCAUUAGCUUGGGAAGCCAUUCAACAGAAGAGAAGCUUGCUCCCUUGGUUCUCAUUUGUCUAGAACAGAACACUCACCCCCAUAGUACCAAUUCCACCUCUGGCUUAUCACCAGGAACUAGCUACCUACCCAGAUUCUAUUACUCUCUUUUUGUAGGAUUGCUUAUGUUUAUUGUGCUUUUUGCAAUUCAAGACUAGACUCAAUUGAUCAUCUCUUUUUUGGAUGUUGUAUUACUGCUGGCCUUGUUAUGUUUUAGGCUGCAAGAUGCAACCUUCCAUGGCAAAACAAGUCGUGGAUGGAAAACUUACAUUGGGUCAUCAAAUUUCUUUCAAGCAAUAACUUCUUUCAAUGUAUUGCUCGGUUUUCUUUUGGAGCCCUAUGUCACUUAAUUUGGAAGACGAGGAACAACAUCCUAUUCUGGAGCCAAGCCUGUUCGUGCCUACAUUAAAAAACAAAAAAACAUCUCGUCAAAGUCAUCAAGGACAAAGCCCUGACCUUCAGCCAUGUUGUGGACAUGCUAAGGAACAGGAGGAUUCAACGAAGUUGGGGACUUGAUCCCUCUAUUUUCUCUUUUGAGGUGUCUGAAUUUUCCUUAUAAAUUCUGCUCUGAGGGUUGCCACUGUUGGUUUCCCCCUUUUUUUUCUUUUAAAUCUCGACACCCUUCCACUCUUAAUGACAUGUUUGUCACCAUCAAUGCAAGUUUUGUUGGUGCCAAGACUGCCCUACUGUAAAGCUCUUUUGGUUAAAAGUCAAUACAAAUCUUACCUUACCAAAAAAAAAAAAAAAAACUGUUUAUCAUAAACAAAAUUUAAGAAUCUCUCUCCCAACUAUAAGAGAUUCUUCUUCCUUCAACAUCACUCCUUUGUGCCGUAGAAAAUAGCUAAAUACACAAAUCACCAUGUGUGAUGAAUGUCCAUCAGGUGAAUGUAUUGAUCAAUAAUUUUUAAUUUAAAAUUAAGAAUUGUAUUAAGAAUAUCAAUAUACCAUUGCAUGAAAUAUCAAACGAGCUCUUCUUUUUCCACAGUUUAAUCUUAUGUUAGAAUCCCCGUUCCUCACCAACCCACAACCAAAAAGUGUGAAUUGACCAUGAGGUGUGAAAGGCAUCUCAUAUUGAUUGUUCAAAUGUGUAGUAACAAAGGUUACUGCUUCAUCAAAAUUUUCAUAUAAUACCAGACUUUCUGCAUCUGCCUAGGAAACAUUCUUUAACCUGGAACUAUCUUCCAAUUCCAUCACAUAGAAGAAAAAACGGUCAUUUCUCUUUGCAUCCUAACAAAACAGUUAUGACUGGUUUCACCUCUCGAGUUCUAAGUCUUCAACUUUCUUGCCUUUUCAAUAAAAUUUUGAAAUCUUUCUCACCAAAGGUAAGUUUUUCAUUCCCUCCUGCCUCAACAACAGACAAGUUAAAGUCCUUGUUGAUCCUUAUACUGCUCUAUCUACAUACACUCUUUCAAUGAAGAGAAUAUGCAAGAGUUCAGUAUUCUACCUUACCAUCAUCUCCAAUUUUCUAGCUCCUUCUUGAGACACCCAAUCCCACUUGUUUAGCAUAUCUUUUAUCAUUCUCUUAAGGGAUCCUCUACAAAAUCAAAUACCAUUCCUUCCCUCCGUUUUCUAUCACAUUUUUCUUCUUUAAUUUGAUUUCAAUUUGCUUCAUCACCAAUAGCUUCUGUCUCACAUUCUUCAUCAUCAGAUAGUGGGUCAAUGUCCUGCACUUGUGAGGUUGAUGUGCAUUUUUCUUGCGUUUGCUGAAACUAUAGAAAGCAAAAAUUUUAGUAUGACAAUCAAUUAGAAACAUAGGUACACAAAAGAUCGUAAUUUGAGAUUUUUUUUUUAUAAGAUAUGACGCAAUGAUAGCUUAUUCAUAUAAUCGUAAACUGACACAAUAGCUAAUUUAUUAAUAACAACUUGUGCAAUGUUUUCCUGAAAAUAGGAGCAUAUGGCGCACAAACUAUAUGCAGAUCAAAGUCCUUUAACCAUGUCUUCUAUUUAAUAAAAAUAUUACGAUUGGUGGACGGAGGAGAAAAAAUAGGUAGGACUCAUCUCAGGCAAGCACAAAUUAUAAACAUAGAGCAACAAUAUUUAAAACGCAUAAAACCCAACGCAAAAAUGACAAAACCUAACACGUAUUUCUCCUAAAUCUUAAAAAUCAAAUAAUCGUGGGGCAAAAAAGUCAACAGUUAAAGACUUUAUAUAUACAAGCAAUCCAUUUCGUCCAUGGGUGCCAGAUAAUUGGUUUGGUUUUUCUAUUUAGUUUGAGAGUUAAAAGACUUUACAAAUCAGAUAAUUGGAUGAUUUUCACCAUUAGAUAGAUAGAUGCUCUGCAAUAAAUGUCAAUUUAUAGGACUUUAUAUAUGAAUUUCUCUGUAUUGUAAUUUUUUUUGGCCGUCACUAUCUAAGGAUUUCUUCCCUAUUUGUUAUGGCAUUUGUUAUGGCAUUGAGAUUUAGAUUCUCAACGUAUUCUUUUCUAUACUAAAAGUUUUUGACCUCUUGAUAUCAGUUUUCUCCAUGCAUGGCCAUAUCCCUUAUAUGAUUCUCAAAGAUCCGAUUAUCACAUGAACACAAAAUUGUCUCAUGUUCAUGUAUAUUUGACACAUGAAUAGUGAAAAAAUUCCAAAAAAGAAAGAAAGAAAGAAAGAAAGAAAGAAAGAAAAGUCGAUAGGUUCAAUAUGCUCGAACAAAAACUAAGAAUGAUGCCAGUAAAAACUUGUUCAAACUUCUUCUAUACAUUUUUAGAAAGGGAAAAAAAAACAUGAUCUUCCCAUGUAAAAGCGUGUUUAAAAUGAUUAAAAGAAAAUACAGUGUAUUGUGGUUUUAUAAACACAUUGUGUUUGGAAACAUUUUGAAAAGUUUUGUAGAAUAUUCAUGAAAUGAUUGAGUAACAUGUGGUUAAGUAUAUUGACGCUUGUUAUAAAAAUAUAUAUACAUAUGAUGAAGCACGUUUUCAUCAAAUAAGGUCAGAAAUUCAUAUGGUCUCUAAUUCAUAAGAAGAAGAAGAUACCCCAGAACCAUCCAUUGGUCAUCUUUGUCUACUACUGAAUUGGAGAGUACUUGAGAAUAGAUUACUCCGAACAUUGAUAAAGUUGGCAAAGAUAACAUCGACAUUUUGAAAUGAUGGAAGAGGGAAGCCAUCGGUUUUUCAAUUCUUUUUACCAUGGCUUGUGACUCACUAUCUCCACUAGCAUUUAUGAGCCCAUGUCUAAUACUAGCCAACAGAUCAUAGAAGACAAAAGGUGUAGGCAGAAAAUUUAGAAAUGGUUUUUGCUAGACAUGAUUGGUUUGUGCAAGAAUUGACUCUAAAGGAACGUACCCUAUAUGAACAAGAGGACAACAAUGAUAUUGUAUCAUCCGAAUUAUAAUGAAGAACAUGACACCAAAGAUACUGAAUUUAUUAGACAUUCUCUUUGGUAUAAUUUGUGUGUAUUUUUUUAUUAGGGCAUCAUUAUGUGUAAUUUUCUUUUUCAAGUUACUCAAGGAUACACUUGUAUUUCAAUUAGGUUUAAUUAAUGAGCGGUUUUUUUUAUUACCAUUAAUAAUAAUAGAUAAAACUUCUAUUUAUUUGCUGAAUAGAUAGAUAGACCGAAAGUAUCAUAACUAUACUUAACAAGAAAAUACUAGGAAAAGCCCACAUACGGUGAAGAUUUUUUGUUGCCGUUGGAAAAAGUAGAAGUCCCACUCCUAUUAACAUAGGAACUGGAAGUGGAAUGAAGGGGAUAAUCCAUGAAUAUUGAUAUGUAUAUUCCAUUAAAAAAAAACCUUUUUAUUUUUAAUUAAUUCUUUAUAAUUCACCGGCUCUUAAAUCUUUUUAUAGGUUCAAUAAAAAAAAAUCAAGAUAUGGAAUACUUAAAUAGAAUUUUCUAUUCCUAAUUAUUCUGAAUCAAAAUUUUAAUUUGUUUUUUUAUUAUUUUUAAAAACUGAACCAAUUAGUUUUAUUUUUUGACAAAAAAUUCAUGAAAAGAAUUAAAAUUAAUUUAGAGAAGAAAUGGGCCAGGACCAACCGAGCCCGGAACGGCCCUUUGGCCCCUCCUAGCUGGCACAACACAAGGACUAGCACUUUCUUCCACCAGGCCUUUCGCCUUAAGGAUUUUCACUUGACAUUGGGGUUCUUCGGGGCUGUUUGGUUCAGCUUUCCCAAGGGGCUUUCAGCCCUGAAAGCUCCUUGGGAAAAAGAAUUAGUGUUUGGUUCAGCAUCUGGAGCCUCCAUUCCCCAAAUGCUGACCUUUAGAAUGCUGAAAGCCCAAAGCAGGUGGGGACCUGCUUUGGGCAUUUCAGCAUUUUCGGCAUGCUGAUCCCUUUAAUAAUGAAAUUUUACUGGUUGCCUAUUUUACCCUCAAAAUCUUAACAAAAGUCCAAUUUUACCCAUACUAAACAAAACCCUAACUCUUUUAACACUCUUUCAACGCUUUCUCCUCUGUUCUGCAGCGACAACGGCUCUCUUCUUCUUCUUCGUCUCUCUCCCUACAACUCGUACCACUCCAUCACGAUUUGAAUCUGAGCACCACUCCAUCAAGGCCGAAGUUUGAUGCGACGAGCGAGCGAAUCCGAGAUCUGGCUCAUGUACCCUCUUGACGAGCGAGUGAAUCCGAGAUUCGAGGUUAGUUUUGUUUCUUUUUGAUCGUUUGCUUCCUCUCGCGGAUCGGCGACGGCUCUGCUUCCUGCUCCUGCGACGGUGAAACCCUAGGGACGAAAUGGGGGUUUAUCUUGUCUUGUGUUGCUGACUUGAACUUGCCCUUUCGAUUUGAAUCGGUGGCAGCGAGGAUCAAGAUGCACGAGCUGAGGCAGAAGUCGAAGACCGACCUUCUGACCUAGCUGAAGGAACUCAAGGCCGAGCUCGCCCUCCUCCGCGUCGCCAAGGUCACCGGUGGCGCCCCGAACAAGCUCUCCAAGAUGUAUGUCGGUGUUCUUACUUGAUUUUCGCGAUUUCGAUGGUCUACAUUGGAGCUUUUUUUUAUGUUUUUGGUAGAUGGUAAUGUUGGGUUUGGGAUGACCAUGAACUUUGGUUAUGGUGGUUAAAUUGGGUUUUCGGCACAUAUUGGAUUUCUUGUUUGUGGAAGUCAGAGCAUGCUGUAUUUGUUGCUGUUUAUAUGAUGAAUGAUCAAUGUUUUGGUGAUGGGUACUUUCUGGUAAUGGGUGGCCGGAAGCAUGGGAUGGUUAUAUUAUGUAAGGCAUUGGAAAUUCGGAAAAGCUCGAUGGUUAUAAUUCCCUACCGGGCAGUUAUGUUUGGCAGUGAGGUGUUUUUAAUGUCAGGCUUGUAGAGUUAAAAAAUUGCUUCUUGCUGAUGAACUCAACCCCUCUGUUUUGCUGAGCAUUAUCGAGUCAAUGUCGAAAUCACAUUGGUGGUUUUGGGAGUUGAAUUGGCGUUGGACCCUUUCUUUUGCGUGAUGGGUUGUCCUACCGGCGGCGACUUGGUCUCCUCCUUUUCAUUUGCUGAGAUCAAUUUGUUUGGUGAGCUGUUUGGUUGCUAGAGCUUUUGCAAUUGAUUGAGCAACGAUGUAGGUUUGCUUACUGGGCUAUGUGGCGGAAGACUUAAGACGAUCUUGAUCAAUUUUCGUUUUGAGAUUGGAAACUAUCGGGAAUGCCGGAAUCGAUGUCUUGUCUGUUUGAAAUUCUCAAUCGGAGUUGGUUUUGGGUUGGAAAAAUGUGAAUUCUACAAAUCGGUUCAUAACGUGUCCAGCAUUGUUAUCCUUACACCAUUCGAUAUUCAAUUUUCUGGACACCAUUUGAUGUAUCCAUUUUUGGAGGGUGGAGAAGUUAAAUUGUUUGAAUAAUGCUAUAGGAUAGUAUUAUGACAUAUUAAGGUAGGUACGAUGCUUUUGAGUUAAUAAUGGCUCAUCAUUGUCUAAUUAUCAAGCUGCCUUAUUUCAAAGUUGCCAGCAUUAUACUUGAAAGCCUUCCGAGUUUGCAUGAUUCAAAUUCAGCAGGGAGGAUAAAGUUUCAUUUUCGGCAUUUUGUACCUGAUCUUGAAACGUGGUUCUAGUUAUAUUGACCUCAGCUGUUGGUUAAUCUCUCCUGCUUUGCUGAGAAAUGAUGGAUAGUAAUUUGUCUUGACCAGAGAAUGAGGCGCCAUUGACACCAUCUGAUUAUUUCCACUGGAUGUACCUCCAGAAAUUAUCUGAAUAAAGCUGCAGGGCAACAAGGGAAAACACUUGCAUAUAGUUAGAUCUAGUGAUUUGUCGUGGAAGUUGAAGUGUCUUAUUUUACUUAGCAAGUCUUUUCUGAGGUAAUUUGAUAGAUGGAUAAUCUAUUGGGCGACUGUUUUACCUAGGAGCAGUGCUCGCUAGAGGCACUAAAACUUCUUCUGGAAAUUUCUUUGCAGUGUUUCUCUGAUAAAUCUUGAUUUUUUUAGAAACUAGUAGGGUGUUCAAGCUUUUGAUGAUUGAUAACUUGUUUGAAUUUAAACAUCAAAUAGGUCUGGUCAUAUCAAUUGAGGAUAAGUUUUAAUAGGAGGUAAAUCUAUCAAAAUGACAGCCCACUAUAUCAAUUCAGAUUUAUUGUAAUAGAUUAUCUAUGGACCACCUCAAACUUGAAAUAUGGUAGCAACUUGAGAGUUGCUUGAGAUGGCAAGACAGGCCUUAAGGUGGGAGGCACGUGACAGGACCAGGUCCUCCUGGGUUGGAGUGAGGGGUUGUCGGCAAACAAGCCAGCAGAGGCCGCGCGGCAGUGAAGGCGGCAGUGGGGAGACUAACAACCAAAGUCACCGAUCAACGUCGUUACAAACCAACACCGCCACCGCACAACACCAUUGCCGACCAUCUCCAUUCACUAAUUACAGCCACAAUCUCAAGGAAAUUAUUAGGAUAUGAACAAAAUGCAUAUUUCUAGAAAUUAUAUAACCCAACACCAUCUCCAGCCAUCGACCACUUUCGUCAGCCACCAUCACCGAAUGGAACCACCAUCACAACAAUCACCCAAGACUUUUGCCAAUUAUCAUCCACCCUAAAAUUGACAUCUUUUGUCACUGUCAGUCACCGGCAUCUCACAUUCAGAGCACGAAACAGCAAAUAUAUCAAGAGUACAGAUUGGAGAGAAAAAUUGAUACAGAAUAUCUUAUAGGAUUGACAUUAUAGGAUUGACAUUAUUGAUGUAGACUCCGAACAUUCCCUCAUCCGCAAGCACAUACCGCAAGGAGACACGCAAAAGGAAGUAAAAGAAAGGAACAAUUGUAUGCUCAGUCUUGGUCUCAUGAUAAAAGUAACACUCCAGAAAAAAGGGGUUUCCAGUUGUACUAAUGAUCAUUAAUUAACGAAGAUGAUUAAUACUAUAACAAUUAAAAAAAAUUAUUCAAAGUUGAAAACAAACCUAAAAGAACUCUAGGCCAAAAGUUGAGCUUUGCAUCUAAUCUAUAAUUAAAUUUUUUUAAUAUAAUUUUUAAAUAAAUUUACUAAUAUGUAUCUUUUACAUUAUUCUCAACAUAAAAAUGUAAAAGAUUAUAUAGCUAUUGUUUCUUUUAUGAAAUUUUAAAAAUACUAAAAUUAAAAAAUUUAAUUUUGUCACACUAAAGGGCUUUUCAAAUAUAUGUUUACCAAACAGUUUUGCAUUUCCUUAAAGCACUUUUCAGUUAUAGUUUACCAAACAGUCUAGCAUUUUGGAAAACCCCUUUAUCUCAAAGGUAUUUGCAUUCUCUUAAGGACAUUUCCAGAAAGCUGAACCAAACGGGCCCUUCGUGGGUUAGGCAACUUUAUUGGGGAUAACUUCGGUGUUGAAUAUCACGCAUGGGCAGCAAGGCAGCCGGAAUUUCAUCGGGGACAAAAAUUCUAAAUUCUUCCAGGAGUUGCUCAAUUGUCUUAGAAAUUCAAGUGCUUCUUCAUUUUCUUCUGUUGAUACCGAAAUUUUGUUGAUGUUUUGGAUAUCCAUUUAUUUUGCAAAAUAUAAAAUUUAUUAAAAAAAAAAAGAAAUGAUGAAGUAGUGUGGCCCGGGGUGUCCGGCCCACUUAGCAACCUUCGGCCCUCUAAGCUCGUUUCCCCCUCCCAUCUUCAUUUCUUUUGUUUUGAGCCCAUCUUGAUCUUUUCCUUUGAGUCCGUAAAAGCCUUAAAAAUAAGCCCAGCCCAAGAUCACUUCUUCCCCUUCGUCUGCACGAACCAGCAUCUCUGAGGAGGGAGGAAAAGAAAGGAUGGCAUGUGGGGCAGAGGGAACAGGACAGAGGGCAGACCGUCGACCGGGAGUUGGUCGGGGCCAGGCCGGCGGCGGCAGCUGGCACGGCAGGAGGCAUGCGCACCGAAGCUUAAAAGCGAGAGAGGAGCGUGCUGUUGUGAGGGGUGAUUAUUAGGGGGCUUGGCUGAAAUGAGAAAAAUGGUCGACCGCCGACCAUCGCCUCUGUCCACAGUUGAGCGGUGGUCUUCCUUCUUGUCUUGUCAUCCGUCGAACUUUUCCGGCAACCAUACGACACCAAAACUCUACCCUGAACCUGGUGGGAGUUCGCUCUCGAACACCUCAUUUUCUGCCCCGUUUCGUUGAGCACAAGAUCCGAAUCUAUUUCUUUUUGGAGAUCAUAGGACUUUGAUAUAGGAAUAGGACUGGGUUAUAAUCUAUGAUGUGGGUUCAUGUUUUUGUGUGUCGAGAUUUCAGACUCAUUUCACCAUGAAUGUAAAUAUAAAGCUUGUUUUCUAAAAUGGACACCAUACGUUUGUUAAAAUACUUGAAAGAAGACCGGAAAGAUUCUCAUGUUUAAACUCGAAACCGAUCUCAUUUGUUUCUGUCUUCGUCGAAUCCUACUUGAUUUCUUCGUAUUUUUCUGUGUUGGCCUUGCAUGCGCCCCUUCACUAGAGCCCCUUGCCGGCAAUCCCCCGUCCAUGGUUCAAGGCUAAUCGAGUCAGCGUCUCUUUAUUUUAACAUGCUUGUGCUUGUUUAUUUGCUGAGUGUACUGAUAUUAAAAAUUUGAAUUCCGGGUGAUGUUCAUUCUUGGUGUUCGGUGGUCGCCGAAAUAGCGAGCCGAAGUUGGUGAUUUCAGAAUGGAUGAUCAGCUGGAGGAGAUGGCUCGGCGGCGGUAUGUAUGUCGGCAACAAAACAUGUGAAAGUUGAUAUUAUCUUGAAGUUGGUGAUUUGGGAACGAUACGAUCGAAUGAAGAUAGGUUGCAGGAAAAAGCUUCGGCGAGGAAGUGCAGGAGGUUGAAGAUGAUGAAGGAAAAGACAAAAAAAAAAAAAAAUAGAAAGGACAAAAGAGAGAAGAAAUACAAGAAACAAAGAAAAGAGAGAAAAAAGGGGAAAGCCAACAAUAGAGGAAAAAGAAAGUAAAAUGGGCUUCGGGCUUUUUAGAUGUGGGCCGGUCGUCCAUACGAAGAGAAGGGUUUUGGGCUGGUUUGUUGUGGGCUAGGUUCUUUUUAGAGUUCGGGCCGAAAAAUUAAUUGCGAAGAGAAUUGUUCUUGGGAUGAUUUAUUUAAUUGCGAGUGGGCUUUUAGGGUUAACAUUUUUAGUCCAACCCGAUCCGAUAAGGUUCGGGUCGGUUUAGUUGGGUCAGGUCUCUUGACCCGGUCCGAAUUUCUUUUAAAUUAAUAAUAAUAAUAAUAAUAAUAAUAAAAUAAAAAUAAAAAUAAAAAUAAAAAUUUAUAUUGAUUAAUAAAAAAUUCAGAAAUAUCAUAAAAAAAAUAAUAAAAUUCAGAAAUAUCAUAAAAAAAUUCAUAAAAUUCUAGAAAAUCAGAAAAAUUCAGAAAAAAUUGGAAAAUCCUUAAAAUUAAAAAUCUAAAAUUGCAUAAUCCUCUAGGACUUUAUAAUAGGAUUCUUUGUUUUGAAAUGUAUUUUUCUUUUUAGAGACAAUAUUAGGAUGCUUACAUGUUUUCUUUAUGAUUAUAUUUGGUUACACUUUCAAUGUGUUGGAUGUUAUAUCCCUACUCUAGAAUGGUUAGGACGAACUUUAGAUUUCUUUUGGAUAAAUUGCUAUAACAUUAGUUAGCAUGAUCAAGCUAGGUAUCGAAAGUGUGUUAGUCUUAAGGCUAACAUAAUCAAAUCCCCAAGUCUAAAAUCUCCGAUUACGGAAAUAGUAAGAUAUCAUCCCGUAUCUUACUUGGUUUCUACCUGAUUGAAAAAACUAGUGGCGACUCCUUAGUUAAAAUUUACAUUGGCUUAAUUGAUUAAAAACUUGAACGCCCGAUAUCAUGUGAGAAAUGGGCUUGGAAGAAUCUAAAUUAAUUGAAGGCCGUCAGCUCGAAGUUGACAAUACCUUUGAACCUAAUUGUCUCUCCCACGAGAAGUUAGGUCGCGACAUCUUCAUGUACCACUAGCGCUCAUGCAAUGUGUCUCCUUGUAGGAUUUUAUGGUAUGUUCUUUUGCGAGCAUUUUUUUUUUGGCUAGAAUGGACAUGCGAAUUUCCUAGCACAUGAUGGAUACGGGUACACUUAUUCUUUUUAAAUAAAAAAUUUGAAAUACAAUGAUCAUCUUUUCUCAAUAUCAGGGCACAAAGAAAUUGAUGACUCUCACAAAGAAAAAAAAAACUCACUUUUUUCUUCUCUUUUUCUUUUCUUUCUAUUUUCUUUUUCGGUGUCUUAAGAGCUAGCGUCUAACUAUCAUUGAUAUAAAAUGUGUAGCUUUUAAUUUAAAAGCAAAAUUAAUAGAAAAUACAAAAAAAAAUCCCUAAAAAUAUUUGGCUUCAAUUGCCAAUAUCAUGAAUAGUUUCAACGAUGAUAUUGCCAUCAUUGUCUAAGUAACAUAUGACAUACAUCCAUUAAAAUCACAUCAUGCCACACUUUGUUGUGAUCUUUAUUUGUAAUAAUUAUUGAAUUAAACAAGGUCGAAGACUUUUACUUCAUUUCUCUCCCUCAACUAUUGUGACCUGCCAAGGUAGGGAUGCUCUUUCAUUGGUAACUUCAGAUUCCUGACCACAACUGCUACAACAGUCCUACAGCCUCUUCCGUCAAUAAUAGCAUUGCAAACCAUGUCAUGUGACGUGCACUUGUUUCGAAAACAUUGUGGUGCUCUUUAUUCAUCACCUCUUUCUCUUUCAGGAUAGAUCGCUUCCUUCACCAAUAUGCACAGUCAUUCAUCUCUCUGUUUCUCUCUCUCUCCCUCCCUCCCUCUGACACACACAAAUCACAAAUCGUACUAAAAUUCACCAACAUAUUAAUAGAAAAACAAUCCGUGAUUUGCAGAAAAAAAAAAGUCAAUAAGUUUAAUUUUGGAUUUCACAUGGAAAUAGAUGGAAGAGAGGGUGAUGAUCAACCGUGAUUUUGGGCAACGUUGAUGGGUGCCUCACAUGGUCAACAGAGAAUGGUAUGAUCAAUUGUCGGCAGUAGACUCAACACAUUGAACAUUAGCGCUUCAGAAUGUUUAUUGAAGUUGGUUUUUUUUGUCUUUCUGCACAACUUAUUGUUUGUUGGAGGGAAUGCAAGAACUUCAAUUUGAAGGGACUGCAUUUAUAGAAAACCUCAUCUCUUUAUAUAAGUGCAAGAAGCUGGCAAGCCUUUCAUCUAGCAUUUCUAGGUUGGAGAAACUGAGUAGGCUGAGACUUGAAGGUUGCUAAAAUUUAUUCCAAAGUAUGGGGAGGACUCAACUGAUUUGUAUGUGAAUAUGGGACUUCCAAAUUUUUCCUUGCUAGAUUCAAGGCAUGUAAUUUAGCCGAAGUUGAGUUCCUUCAUAAUCUUUCCCUUUUUCCCAUUUCAAAUUGGCUUUCAAACAUUUUAGAGGUCCUAAAAUGACUUGGACUUAUUUCGGAAACAUAAUUGAGAUGAUGUCCAACUUUAGUUUUAAGGUAUCUUCAUGUAAGCCGUUUUGCUUUUCAUUUAGCUUUCUGGCCUACUUGGAUCUCUUUAAAAAAAAUGUACGAUAACCCGUUGCUUUCUGACAAGAGUCUCCUUUUGUUUUGUCCCUGCAACCGCAAUUCCGUUUACACAAUACUGGAUACAGGAACAAAAGGCCAUGGCUUUCAUGCUCGAUUUACCUUUACUUUUUUGGGUAUCAAUUGAGGACGAACCCUUUUAUUACAUCAUAAUCCAACUCGGUGCACAAACACUACACAAUCAAGACAAAAGAUUAGCAUAUGAGCAUUUGUAGUCUAAUUAAAUUUGUAAGGAAAAGUAUUCUACAUAUUGAUUCUGUGAAUUUAUAUAUGGUAUCAUUUGAUUUUAGAUAAGCCCUGAAUGAAAAUGAUUGAUAGCAUAUAUUAAUGUUCUUUGGUACACCGAAAAAGCAAAAGAGUAUGCUACGAGAACAUGAGUAGAUGGAAAGGGAAAGGACCUCCGGGCAACAGUUUUUCUACGAAGAGCUAAUCCGUGGAAUCGGGUAAAGAAAGAUGCAAAGCAGAGUAAAAGUCAAAAAAGAAAACCUUAAAAGUCGCAAAGAAGCGGACGGGUCAUGAUGAGGAAAGAUCAAAGGUGAACGUCCCAGUGUCCCACUAAGUAAGUUCGCGUUUCACGGAUUAUAAAAGGGGAUGCGAUAAUGACAAACAAAUGGGAAUCACGCGAAGGAGCAAAUUAGAAAGUAGGUCUCUCUCUCUCUCGUCCUCUCUCUCUCGCGAAUCUUUCCUGUUUCAUUAAAAUUAAAAAGCAGCCGUCCUCAGCAAAGGCAUGAUGACCAUCACUUAUCAUGCAUGUGCUUUCAAUUCAAUUUGCUCCAACUUUUUUUACGGUAGCCUACCGUAAAAGAUCGUGAUGAAAAAAUAUAUAUGCUUGUGAUAUAGAUAAAUUUUACACACAAAAACUUACGAUGCAUUUUUGUCUGCUCCUUUAUUCAUGACUUUGUAGAGAUAUUUACUAAAUCCAAGUUGGCCAUAAUCUUCCUCAAUGAUUGCAUAAGAUUGACAUUCCAAUUUUUCCUGAGAUAUCUUGAUUACAGAAGGCUUCUUCUGCAAUAAGUUAUGUUUGUAUAGUUCUCAUUCAGAUAAUGCAUAGCACAUUUUGCUUUUCAUUUUUUUUUCCUUAAUUGAAUUACAAUCUCAUUGACUAAUGCCAUCCUCGAUGAUGUCUAUCACUUGGAUUAAUUAGACAUUGUAGCAAAUAAAGGCAAUUGAUUGGGCAAAUAAAAUAGAGUCAGUGUUAUGAGAUGAACAUUUGUUAUUGACUUGACAUUAAAACUUCAAAAUGUAAUGAAGCACUUGAACUUUUGGUUGAUGUGGCCCUCUUACUUUUUAUAUUUGUUUCGAUCGGUUAUGUUGAGUUUAAUAGAUCAAUUUUAAUUGGAGAGGCUUGACCUAUCUAUCAGCUGCAACAUAGAUAUAGUUGUUGCGAAAGAUAGUUAAAAUAGACUUAUAUUAACACAUUCAUGACUUUAUAAGUUUGUUAUAGUUUCUUACAUUUCCUAUAUCGUGAACAUCAUGUAGAAAAGAUUAUCAAAAUGAUCAAAUUUUACUUGUGUUAAGCUAGUCCAUUUACUCAAGUGGUUGCCCACAAAAUAGGAGGAUUUCAAGCAAAGUGGACAGACAUGGUGCCACUUCUUUUGAAGAACAUUAAAGAGACUAAAGCGACAGAUCGACCAAUGCACCCUUUAUCUCUAGAAUCAUCUUUACUUUUUCUUGUACUUUUACUUCCUCGUAAUUUCAUUUUGUUGUAAUUUCAAUUUCAACUCUUUCAGUUGACCCUAAUUGCAAUUCCAGUACAAUUAACAUUUUCUAGUGCUUAGAUUUGUGGAGUUUCGUUACUCCAUCUAAAGCCACAUUCAUGCACUUUUUUGCUCGAGUGUAAAAUCGAGGAGCGAUUUCAAUCGCUUUCCAAUUGUUUGAAGUAGCUUUGAAGCUGAGUUUCAAGAAGUCACUUAACAAUUUAGCGCUGAUUUUAGCUCCAAACACCUCCGUCCUUUAAGGUGGAGUUUCCGACCACGGACAAGAAAUGACUCCUUAUCUCCAUUCAAGAAGAUCAUAUGAUUAUUAGCAAAGUGCGUGAGUAAAUCGCCAAACAGAAGUGCGUAAACUCAAUUUUCUUGUGCGUAAGUCUCCAUUCUCUACUGCAAAAAUUUAGUGAAAACUUGAACUGUCACCACAAAAAAAAAAAAAAAAAAAAGGAGACAAGAUCACCUGGUCUUAAUCCAUUCUGCCCUCUAGAAAAGUUGGCAGGCCCCACUGACAAUUAUAGAGUAUUAUAUAAAAGCAGUAAUUGCGUCUUUCCCCCUAAGUCAAGAAUACAGUGGGGGAGAAGAAAACCCUUUUUCUUCAUAAGUCAAAAAUGCAGUGGGAACACUAUCUGUCUAUCAGCUGGAGUAAAUCUCAAUAUAAACAUGAUGACAACAACUAUAUUUUCUGAGUCCAAAAUUAUCGAUUUGUUAAAUUUGAUCAUAAUUCAGUUAACAAUAAAUCAAUGCUAAACAAAUAUUUGUAUCAAUUGUACAUCAAACUAACGCGGUAAAUGUGAUCUCUAGUAAAGAAAAAUUGCAGGGGCAAAUCAUUAACUAUUUCAGGCCCUUGACACACACAAUAAUAUUACUAAAAGAUCUUAUAAUAUCCUGUGUCUUAGAGUUGAGCGGUCUUUUUUACCCUUUCAAAAUCUUAUAAAAAAUACUCGAGUACAACAAAUAUAAUUUUAAAUAAUAAGAAACAUAUUUGAGUAAGCUUUAUUGUCAUCGAAAUUGAAUUAGGGCCAACAUAGACCUAGUUCUAUUAUUUUUUAGGAUAGUUGUGAAAAAUUCAUUGAUGUGAAUGCAACGUGUAUUAGUCUUUCAUAGUCGCUUUAGUCGAAAUCACAAGUAAAAAGAAUUACGGGAUUUUUACAUCUCUGAAAAGGUGAAAGCCUUGACAUCAAAUGACAUUACGUCAAAUUAUCAAGCUCGUGAUUUGAAUCUUCCAUACAUAUCAUGCAUAAGUACAGAUAAAGCAUACGUAAUUAGCCCCUCUAAUAUUUCAUUUUCUCAAAAAAUAGUAAAAAAAUAAAAGAGAGAAGAAAAUUGUCAAAUCUGGCGUGCAAAUUCAUUGAGACAAAUGCAGCCAAAGUUAGAUCACAUGUGGAAUAAAAGAGAGAAGAAAAUUUUCAAAUCUGACAUGUGAAUGCACUUGGAUCCAUGCAAUUAAAGUUAGAGCACACAUGAAAACAUAAAUAUUCACAUCACUAUAUAGGAUAAUCAUGACGAUCCGCCAAAUACUGUGACUCAACAGGUAAUAACUGUUGAAGUAAUCAUAAGAACCACACCACAUGAGGCAUGAGAAAAAUAUGGUACGAAACGCAUGCUAUGUUGUAUUUUAUCAAAUAAGUUCUGUUCCAGAAAAAAAAAAAAUGUCGCGACUAAGGACAAAUAGCAAUUCAAACUUUCCAACGUACCACCACCGACAAACUGAGUUUCUCGAAUAAAACCUUGUGCUAUGAAAAAGCAUUAAAAAUAGAAUUGAGAGCCAAGUCACAAUACUAGAAAUAUGUUACUCAGGUGAAGGUCUACACUCAUGAGCUGACAAUAAGAGCAAAGAACUACAUCUCCGAGCACAUUGAAAAAGAAAGAGCUAUAAACAACUAUCAUUAACUCAGGAUGUAGUAAACACGAACUUGUUUUUACGUUUGAACUCUUCAGUGAAUUGCCUUCCUCUGUUUUCACUUGUUCCUUCUAUUUUUUUUCCCUUGAAAGUGAUGAAAUAUUCACUUUGGAUAGUGACUAAGCAUAAAAUAUUAUAUGAUAUGAACAGAGUUAAUGCAAGUGAAGUAUAAUGUCAUAAAGUCUAAACACGUAUUACUGUAAUGACUUGGUUUGACGAGGGCAGGGUGUGAUUACUGAAGCCAGAGGGUCUAGAUAAAAUGGAACUAAAUUGGACUGUGCAUCAAAUAGGGGGAAAAUAAUUAUAUAUAUACGAAAAAUGGAAUUAACUCAUGGAGCCUUUUCUUAACGUAACAAUAAGUUUUGCUUCAAAACUUCAAAAUUAAGCAAGCCCGAGCUAGGGCACUACUAGGAUAGGUGACAUCAUGGGAAUGUACUUGCAUGUUUGCUAAAGGACAAAACCAUGAGGCUCGGUAUGAGACGGGUCAAAGUGGACAAUACCUCCAAUGAGUUAAUCAAGUGACGUCAUAAUAUAGUAUUAGAGCAAGACCACUCCAGUAGGUGUGUGGUUGGGAGUCAAACCAAGUGGAAGCUAGUGGCUUUGGAAUGCCCUGGUCCGAUGAGAGAAAGGAAUGGUCGCCAAUGUCAAGGGACUUGGACAAGAAGUAGAUCCUAACAGGCUUCUAGGAUAGCGAAGGGAGUAGGCAUGAGCAGAAUUGUGUAUUGAAUAGAGAGAGAGAGAGAGAGAGAGAGAGAGAGAGAGAGAGAGAGAUUUUAAUAUAUAUAUAUAUAUAUGGAAACCAUAAUUAACUCACGAAGGCACAUUAACAAUUUCGUUUUGGAACUCUAAAGUUAAGUGAGCCCAUGCUAGAGCAUUACUAGUAUGGACAACCUCUCUCCUGAAAAAUUGCUUGCCCGUAUGCCAAAAGGACAAAACCGUGAGACACAGUAUGGGACAAGUCAAAGUGAAAAAUAUCUUGAGUAAGUUAACCUAAGGAUGCCACAAUUACAAUGUUCAAUUUCAUCCAGUAUGAAUUGAGAUCAUCAUGUGUGACCGAUUCAAGUAAAAAUAGGUUAAUACAUAAUCAUUACUUUAAGAUAGAUCUUCGAAGCAACUUGAGAGGUUUUUAAUGGCUACCACAUCUAACGUUAGUAGAUGCAGUGAAAUGCUAUUCUUCAUUAAAAUUCAAAUGUUGAAAUCCUCUUUUAGACUAAAUGAUAUGAAUGUAACGUAUUCUUUCACACCUAGAUGGAUUCUUUCUUAUGAAAUCCUGUCUGAAGUUUCCAAUUCUUUGAAAAUGACUUGCACAUUUUUUUAAUUUUUUAAAUUUUUCUUAAUUUUUUAAAUGUUUAAAAUUUUUCUUAUUAUUUUUUUAAGUUUUUGAAUAUUUUAAAUAAAAUUAAAUUUAUAAAUCUAAUUUAAUUAAUUUUUAUAUUAUUAUUUACACGUCAGACAUGAAACGGCGUCGUUUUUGCAUUUUCUCGUCACGUCAGCAUGCAAAACGACGCCGUUUUGGACCAAACUCACCGGAAAGUCGCCACGUAAGCCAUUUGGCCGGAUUUGCCGGAGUGGCACUUAAGUGUCCCAUUUAACUUCAAAACUGGCACUCAAGUGUACCAUUUUAAAGUUAUGGCACUUAAGUGUCCUCCCGUGCCAAGUUAUAGCACUUGGGUUGUUCUUCUGCCUUGGUUCCCCUACAUAGAAUCCCGAGCCGAGCUUGUUGACCCCACCGGGCACCGCCUCCUUCUCUCCAAUUUUCUCUCACAUCCCUCUCAUCUGCUUUACCCACAAAGCUGUUUAAUACUCUCCAUAAAAGAAAGUCAUGCCUCUGGGUAUAAAAAAUAUAUCGAGCAGAUUCCAUGGGAGAACAAAUCUCAUCGGCUGCAAAUGCGAUUUCCUGGGAGCCACAGCCCAAUAUAUUGUUGGAGAGCCAAUGAAGUAGCUUACCUUUGAAGAUCUCAGUUCAUCCUUCAGCAACUUUCAUUUUCCAACAUUCCAAGCAAACCCACCAACACCUGCCUCGUUUAACCAAAUUCUAAUGGCUAGUGCUUCUUCUUCUUCUUCUUCGAAACCUAAGAGGAAUUACGAUGUUUUCUUGAGUUUUAGAGGCAUCAAUGUUCGUAAUAACUUCCUCAGUCAUCUCUACACGGCUUUAGAUCAAAAUGGUUUAUUCACUUACCUUGACAGUGAGGAACUAAGGAAAGGAGAGCAAAUAUCGCCAGCGCUUAUGAAGGCAAUUGAGGAAUCGCAAGUCGUAAUCAUUGUUUUCUCUGAGGACUACGCUUCCUCACCAUGGUGUUUGGAAGAGGUGGCAAAAAUCAUGGAGUGCAAGAUACAAAAAGACCUGAUCGUGUUGCCGGUGUUUUACAAAGUGGAACCUAGAGAAGUGAGAGGGGGGAGAGAGAGUUAUGGGAGAGCUAUGGUUAAGCAUGAGUCUAAGUUUGGGAAGGAAUCAGAGAAAGUGAGAAGAUGGAAAGAGGCUCUCUUUGAUGCCGGUAGCUUAUCUAGAUGGCACUUGAAUGAUGGGUAAGUCAUAAUUGAUUGAUGCACUGGUUUGUCCCAAGUAACCGUGCAUUUAUAUGUUGAAUCACAUGUUCGCUUUUUUUUUGCCCCUAAGAAACGUGAUUAUUUCUUUGAACUGCUGCAUCGAUGUGUUAAGUUCUUUUUCUGGUUUUUUGUCAGUCUUUGAACCGCUGAAUCAAUGUGUUAAGUUCUUUUUUGGUUUUUUGUCAAAGAUGAAGCGAAGCUUAUGCAGAGUAUUGUGAAGGAGAUCUCUAGGCAGUUAGACCGCACACCCCUACAUGUUGCUAAGUAUCCAGUUGGGAUAAAUCCUCGAGUGGAAAAAAUGGUAUCAAUGUUAAAUCUUGAGUUUGAUGAUGUUCUCAUGAUAGGAUUAUGGGGGCCAGGGGGCAUGGGAAAGACAACUUAUGCGAAAGCCCUUUACAAUGCUAUUUUUAGAAAAUUUGAGGGUUCUUUUUUUUUUUGCAAAUGUUCGAGAAGCUUCAAAAGAUUCUAAGGAUUUAGUUCCCUUGCAAGAAAAAUUGUUAUCUAAGAUAUUAUGGGGAAAAACAUUCACAGUGUUUAAUGUUGAUGGAGGUAUAAAUUUAAUACAAUAUAGACUUUGCCACAAAAAAGUUCUUCUUGUUCUCGACGAUGUCAAUGACAUAAAACAAUUAAAUGCUUUAGCUGGAGAUUGUGAGUGGUUUGGUAGAGGAAGCAGGAUCAUCAUCACUACUAGAGAUAACCAUUUGCUAACUUCACAUGGGAUAGAUAAAGAUCAAAUCUAUGAAGUUAAAAUUCUAGAGCAUUGUGAAGCUUUUGAACUUUUCAACAAGCAUGCUUUUCUGAGAAGCAACAAAAUAGCAAUACGACGAGAUCUAGUGGAUAGUGCUUUGGAGUAUGCUAAUGGACUUCCAUUAGCACUUGAGGUAUUGUGCUAUUUCCUUUGUGGUAGAAGAGAACAUGAGUGGAGAAGUGCAUUAAAUAAACUUGCCAAAAGUCCGGACAAAACAAUCAAUGAUGUUCUUAAGUUAAGUUACGAUGCACUAGAAGACUAUCAAAAGGAGAUCUUUCUUGAUAUUGCAUGUUUCUUCAAGGGGCAAUAUACAAAGGAUAUUAGGAAAGUUCUUGACUCUUGCGACUUUGACACAACUAUUGGAGUACAAGUUCUUGUUGAGAAGUCCUUAAUUACCGAAGAGUAUGGGAAAUUACAGAUGCAUGACUUGAUUCAGUUGAUGGGCAUGAAUAUUGUUAAACAAGAAUGCCGUGAUGAUCCUCGAAGAUGCAGUAGGUUGUGGCUUUGUGACGAUGUUCGUGAUGUGUUGUUGGGAGAUAUGGUAAGAUUUCCUGAUGUCACUAAUUUUACUCUCUUAUUCUCGUACUUUGUAUAUUAAUUGAAAUACAAAAUCUAUAAAUAUAGGGAACAGAUGCAGUUAAAGCCAUAGUAUUGGAUUUACCUGAGCCAGAAGAGAUAGACAUAGAUCCUGAUACUUUCACAAACAUGAGAAGGUUGAGGGUGCUCAUCAUGAUUAAUGUGCAUAUCUCUCUCCAAGGUCCCAUCUGUCUUCCUAAUGAACUAAGAUGGUUUGAAUGGCCCGAAUGUCCUUGGAGUCCACAAUUUUCCUCUGGUCAAAAGAAGUUAGUUGGACUUGAUUUGCCAAGAAGCAACAUCCAAGUAGUGAGGGAACAAUUUAAGGUGCGCAUUUAAAUGAAUAGUAUUUAGUUUCUUGUCUUUUAUAUAUCCACUUUUAUAUGCAUAUGAAUAUGAAUAUAUAUUGAUCGUUGAAGAUUUCGAAUGCAACAAUUAGUAACCCUGACGAUGCUCGUUAAUGUGCUUAAGAAAUAUCUCCGUCUACCAAAUUGUUUAUAAUAGAUUAAAGCAUUGAAUACCGGAUGUCGUUCAAUUAAUUGAACCGACACAAGUGGAACAUUCCUGUUUAGGGGAGUAUUAAACAUUUUCCUAGGUGAAUAUUGAUGUUCCUUCAAACAAAAAUAUACAAGAAAAUAUUCCAAUCUCAUUUUCAAAAUAUUGCAAGUACUGGACAUCAUAAGAACGCUGAAGUUAAAGCAUGGGUAACUAUUGGGCACCGAAAAUUGGACAAAAGCUUAUUGGUGAUAUAAUUUGGAGACUGAACAAUGAGUCUGCUUGAAUUUUUAAAAUACGUGAAAUGAGGAUCUAAGUUUUAUGUUUUUGAAAUGAUAGAUUCUUAAAGUGUUAUUUAAGAUUUUAUUCUAUACAGCAGAAACAAUCUAACAAGACUCUUUUCAAAAUUGCGUAUAGAAAUGAAAAGAUUUUUCUUACUUAUUUGCUUGAUCAUUGAAGUGAGUAUGCGCUAAAUGCUUUCAAAUGAACCUUGCAGUUUUUUCCCUUUUUUGUGGGUAAUGGUGUAAGAGCCAAAGGACAUAAAAAGAUGCUUUCUGUUAACAACUUUGUGCAUUUUUCAGUAGUGUCACUCACCGAAUUAUUAUAUGCUAACUUAGCUUAAACCAAUAACAAAUCGCAUUGUUUAACAUGUUUUCCUGGGAAACUCAUUAAUAAAACGCCUAAAAAUCAGUUAAAAAGCCUCAGCUUGUCCAUCAAUUUGAGGAUGGCUAGCAGAACUAAACUAAGGUUGAGUCCCCAUUUUUCACCAUAAUGAAUGCCAAAAGUAACUCAUAAACUUGACAGGGGGAUAUUUUUGGAAAACCAUCAAGGCGCCCAAUUCACUAAUAUAAAACUAAAUAACAUGUAAACCAUCAAGGCUCCAAGACAAUCAUUUUCAAAUUUGUUACCACGUAACAACCUUUCCGUGAUCCCCUUCCUACUAAUAGUAACAUUUCAACUCAUAAUGCGCGUGCACAAGUGUUGAUUAGGUUUGUCUCAAUUUAUAGAGUUUAAUUGACAUUCUUUACUUGUCCUAGGAAAAAACUCACCACCUUUAUCUUUUGAGAAUUACACGUUCAAAUACAAUUUCAAAUAUAACUUGUCAAAUCUUAUUCCUUAAACUCUGUUUCCAUUAAUAUUCUUUCUUUAAAAGCGAUGUGCUAUAAUUUUAGAGAGUUCCUUCAGAGUAUCCAAAUCACUAUGGAAUGACAACCCAUUUAAAAGGGCAUCUUCAGAAUAAAGUUGUUAAAACAUUAAUGAAAUAGGCGCGAAAAAUACUCAUCAUAUAUUCAAUAGAUGUGCAUCGCAGGGGUUUAAUAAAUCGCACAUGAGAUUCACUCCAUUAUAAGGGCAUGCACACUGUGUGUGUAUACAUAUGUAUGUAUACACACACCCCCAAAUGCAAGGUCUAAUUAAUAAUUAUUGUGGUUGUAUUGAUGAUGAUAUAGUGAGCUCUUACAAUACACCAACGGAUAUGUAGCUAAAAAAAUGAAUUAAGAUGGCUUGGACUCUAUUAUUUAUUUUUAUGUUUUUGUUUAUAUUUAUGAUCAUCUAGGCAUACAAAAUAUGCCCUUUUUUUUUUUAAUAAAACGAUCAAUCAACCAUCACUUCCUAAUAAUUUAUGACUAGAAGAGAUUCCCAAUCUUCUGCUACUUCUGCGGGAUCUAUAGGUAGGUGGUUAUGAAUCUCUACAUAAGAUUCUAGAUCAAUCAAGUGCCACCUAUCUUAGCUUAAAUUGAUGUGAUAAAUUAGUUGGCAAAGGACUGAUCGUGGCUCAUGUGCAUAAAACGAUCAAUCAACCAUCACUUCUUAAUAAUUUAUGACUAGAAGAGAUUCCCGAUCUUCUACUACUUUUGCGGGAUCUAUAGGUAGGUGGUUAUGAAUCUCUACAUAAGAUUCUAGAUCAAUCAAGUGCCACCUAUCUUAGCUUAAAUUGAUGUGAUAAAUUAGUUGGCAAAGGACUGAUCGUGGCUCAUGUGCAUAAAACGAUCAAUCAACCAUCACUUCUUAAUAAUUUAUGACUAGAAGAGAUUCCCGAUCUUCUACUACUUUUGCGGGAUCUAUGGUAGGUAGUUAUGAAUCUCUACAUAAGAUUCUAGAUCAAUCAAGUGCCACCUAUCUUAGCUUAAAUUGAUGUGAUAAAUUAGUUGGCAAAGGACUAACCGUGGCUCAUGUGCUGGUUGCUCUCUCUCUCUCUCUCUCUCUCUCUCUGAAUUAUGAGUAUUGUUUCUGUAACGACCCGGGCCCACUGUGUGAUAUUGUCCGCUUUGGACACUGAGUCCUCACGGUUUUAAAACGCGUCUCACAAGUUUAAGGGAACCCAAGCCUUAUAUACAAGGCCCAUGACCCCUCCCUAAGCGAUGUGGGACAAGAGGGAGAGGAAUCCCUUCCCCUUCCCUUGCGCGCGUCCGAGGACCGGAGGCGCGGACGCACCGCCAUCCCUCCUCCCCGCGCACCGCCGCUCGGGUCGUCACACUCUCCCCCCCUUGGGAGCACAUCGUCCUCGUUGUGGCCCCACAUGCUGUCGGGAGUCGGCUCUGAUACCAUUUGUAACAUCCCGGGUCCCACUUGUGUGAUAUUGUCCGCUUUGGACACUGAGUCCUCACGGCUUUAAAACGCGUCUCACAAGUUUAAGGGAACCCAAGCCUUAUAUACAAGGCCCAUGACCCCUNNNNNNNNNNNNNNNNNNNNNNNNNNNNNNNNNNNNNNNNNNNNNNNNNNNNNNNNNNNNNNNNNNNNNNNNNNNNNNNNNNNNNNNNNNNNNNNNNNNNNNNNNNNNNNNNNNNNNNNNNNNNNNNNNNNNNNNNNNNNNNNNNNNNNNNNNNNNNNNNNNNNNNNNNNNNNNNNNNNNNNNNNNNNNNNNNNNNNNNNNNNNNNNNNNNNNNNNNNNNNNNNNNNNNNNNNNNNNNNNNNNNNNNNNNNNNNNNNNNNNNNNNNNNNNNNNNNNNNNNNNNNNNNNNNNNNNNNNNNNNNNNNNNNNNNNNNNNNNNNNNNNNNNNNNNNNNNNNNNNNNNNNNNNNNNNNNNNNNNNNNNNNNNNNNNNNNNNNNNNNNNNNNNNNNNNNNNNNNNNNNNNNNNNNNNNNNNNNNNNNNNNNNNNNNNNNNNNNNNNNNNNNNNNNNNNNNNNNNNNNNNNNNNNNNNNNNNNNNNNNNNNNNNNNNNNNNNNNNNNNNNNNNNNNNNNNNNNNNNNNNNNNNNNNNNNNNNNNNNNNNNNNNNNNNNNNNNNNNNNNNNNNNNNNNNNNNNNNNNNNNNNNNNNNNNNNNNNNNNNNNNNNNNNNNNNNNNNNNNNNNNNNNNNNNNNNNNNNNNNNNNNNNNNNNNNNNNNNNNNNNNNNNNNNNNNNNNNNNNNNNNNNNNNNNNNNNNNNNNNNNNNNNNNNNNNNNNNNNNNNNNNNNNNNNNNNNNNNNNNNNNNNNNNNNNNNNNNNNNNNNNNNNNNNNNNNNNNNNNNNNNNNNNNNNNNNNNNNNNNNNNNNNNNNNNNNNNNNNNNNNNNNNNNNNNNNNNNNNNNNNNNNNNNNNNNNNNNNNNNNNNNNNNNNNNNNNNNNNNNNNNNNNNNNNNNNNNNNNNNNNNNNNNNNNNNNNNNNNNNNNNNNNNNNNNNNNNNNNNNNNNNNNNNNNNNNNNNNNNNNNNNNNNNNNNNNNNNNNNNNNNUGCAAAUCUGAAAACUUGGCUCUGAUGGCUGCUCAAAACUAAUCAAGUUUCCAAAGAAGGAGGAGGAAUUGAGUGAUCCCCAUAAGAUGGGAUUUCCUAGUUUACAGUCGUUAAACCUUAAUGGAUGCAAUCUAUCAGGAGUGGAGUUCCUAGAGGAUAAUUCCUGUUUCCCCUUCUUACAAGAUUUGAGUCUGUCAGAAAAUAAUUUUACUAACCUUCCUACAUUUGAACAAUUGUAUAAUUUGGAGAAAUUGUGGGUUUUGAAUUGCCAACAACUACAAGAGAUCCCCAAAAUUCCAAGGACAUUGAGAAUUUUAUGGGCAACUAAUUGUGAAUCACUGAGUAAACUUCCCUCCAACAUGUAUGACAUUGAGAAGUUUGAGUUAUCUUCAUGUCAACAACUAGCUCGCAAUGGGUUCUUUGAUUGGUUCAACCUUGAGGUUAGACUCUCUCUCUCUCUCUCUCUCUCUCUCAUUGGUGAGCUAAUUAAGAAAAGCAAACAUAUGGAAAGUUACUGUACUUGUAAAUAUAGGGGAGGUGACUAUAAGGCAAGAUAAAAGAUAUUCUCUCUACUUAUAGAACUCUAGUUCACUGUAAAACUAUGAGGAUCACCCAAUGAAAAAUUUCAAUAAAACUUGUUCAUCCAAUUACAAAUUCUUGAAAAAUACAUGUCAUGUCUCCACCAAUUAAGUACAAAAAUCUUUGUAGUGCAACUGCUAAUUAUAGUUAAAUUAUAGGAUUACCUACUUAACUCGUUGAAACUCCUCUUUUUAGGUGUCAAUUUUGAAAAAACUAUCUCACAGUCUACAUCUAUGACAGAAAUUUCAUCGCCAAACAAAAUGCAAAGUUUUCAUACUUGGAGGAGAGAUGCCAAAGUGGUUGCUCCCCAAUAAAUAGGGUUAUAUAUCUUUCAUGGCUUCAAAGGACUUGUAUCAGAAGAUCUUAGGAGCAGUUUUAGGUGUUGUAUUUCAAGGAGAAAUGUCAUCUUUCCCGUUUGAGCUUAUAGCAUCUGUUAAUUGCGAAGGCAGGGAAAGUAUCAGGAUUGUCAACUUAUUUGAUUUGGAUCAUGUGUGGCUUGAGUAUAUGGAAUCCAAAGAGGUGUGGCCAAUAGAGGAUUUUGGUCCAAAUGACUUGAGCCAUUUCCACCUUAGCAUUAGUGUAUCUAGAGAUCGUGAACUUCUACAUCGAAGAGUGAUGGUGAAAAAGUGUGGAUUCCAUCUAAUAUGCAAGCCACUAGAUAAUGAUUUGGAGGUUUGGCUUCAAAACGAUUAGCUAUUGGAUUCAGCUUUACUCUACGAGGUUUCGCAUGAAGAUAGUCUAAUGAACAUGAUGGAAAAAAGUUCAAAUGAAAUAGACGAUUUACAAGAUAAUGAUACGUGGACAGAGGUAGAAGGAUUCAACAUGGCCGACUUCUCAAUUGAGGUCUCUCUCUCUCUCUCUCUCUCUCUCUCUCUCUCUCUCUCUCUCUCUCUCUCUCUCUCUCUCUCUAUGCAUAUCUCUGAGUGUGUGGUGAUUUUCAAAGAAUGUCGGGUGCACUGUGUUUGCGCAUCGCACAAGAUGAAAAUACUUGGCAGGCUAACAAACAAGUUAAUAUAAAGUGAGUUUUCAAGUACAAAAUCUCAAAUUACACAAUGACAUAGAUCCAAUAAUUGUAAUUCCUAUGUUGAAAAAUAAAUGUAAAAAUCUUGAAAAUCUAUCUAACGAAUUAGUGGACACGUAGUUCUUGAUGGUGCGGUUCAUCAUAACAACCGACACCCUUAUAAUACUAGAUCAUCUAUACGGAUCAGGAUAAAUCUAGAGAAUGACAAUAAUUCAAUAAUUCAACAUGAGGUUCUCACUUUUAGGCGUUUGUUAUUGUAGAGUUAGAUUAAGAUAAGUCUUAUGCAAGUGCGGUAUAAUAUGAACCAAUUCUAUUUGUCUAUAUCCAUAGGUGAGAAUAUCUCUAAUCAUUGUUGUGGCCAAAGUCUCGUGAUUAUAGCCAUGAUGCUGCAAAUUCAAACAACAGCUGUAAAAAAAUAUUGUAGAGUAAUAAUAAUAGUGUUAAAGAAAGCGAGAGAUUAUGAGUAGACGAUUAAAUAAAUGGAUUGUAUUAAAUAGUUAUAUAAAAAUAUUUAGAUUACUUGAUAUAAAGAUUUUGUGAGUUAAUUUUAAAAAGUCUAACAUCAUUUUGUAGUAUAACGGAUAAAAGUUCUAAGGAAUUAAUUCAUCCCUGGAGCCAAAAUCUUACUUUGAUAUAAAAGAAGACAAGCAGCAUCAAUCGAUCAAAUCAAAGUUAUCAAACAAUAAUAAUAAUAAAAAAGGCGAAAAAAGGUAGAAAGAAACAAAACAAAAUGGCAUGAAAAGCCCAAGAACCUCUCUUUUGAAAAUCAGAUCCUGUUGGAUUUUCAUGGACUUUGAUAUAGAAUAAUUGCUGACCCUAAUCGAUUUGAACAUCACCACAUAAUAUAAUCUACUAACCUUGAGGGAGAAGACGUACAAGAGUUGCUAUUAUGAUAGAGGACCGUCGUGCUACCUGCCUCGCUUUGUGACACGUGUCAACUGCCAUAUACAUAUUACUUGGGACAGUUUGAUUUAAGUUAACUAUAGAGACUAUCAGAUUUGAGAUUCUCCUUUAAAAGAAAGUUUGAGCGGACAUAAAAGGUGCAGGAGGUUUGGAUGAGGCUAACCUGUGGAGAGGACAUGCAAUGGACUUUCCUUUUCAACUUUCCAUUAAUUUUAGGGCAAGUACAAGUUUUUUUUUUCUUUUUUUUUUAUGUUAAUAAUGUUAAGUUUGUUGCAAGUAAAUUGGAGUUUAAUUAGGACAGUUUUUACUGAAGAAUCAGCAAUGUCUAAAGUGAACACAUAAAAAUGAACAUUAGAUAGUGGGGUCCGACUAGGACAAUUAAUUUCUCAUAUAUGUUGUUCUCUUUUCCAUCAAUUUUUCACUUCGUCUAUAGUACACUCAUAUUGCAUGAGCUACUUUUAGAGUGAUUCAAUCUAAUAUUAGGGAUGGCUAACGUUUGCAAGGGAAUGAUUUCCAACGUAAGCAAGGAUCAAUGUGUCUAAUUUUAUAGAAGUCUAGCUUUGGUUGCAUUACUAGGAAUAGGGAAAAUUACAAAAAAUAGUUUUAAACAUAUUGCAAUUGUGAUAAUUCAAUCAUAAACCUUUUUUUUUUCUAGUUGAGUCCUAAAUAUUUUACAUUUGUGCAAAUUCAAUCCAUUUGGCUAAUUUUGGCCAAUCUCGUUAGGGGCAGGCGAGGCUCACCAUUGUUUAUAGCCUACAAGGCCGACUCAUUGGCCCUCAACUUUGGCCAAUUGCUAAGUUUUGACAACUAGCUAGAGGAUGAAGAUGGAGGGAAGGGGAAAAAAGGGAAUAGAAAGAAAAAAAGAGAGAAUAAAAUAAAACAAUAAUUCUAUAAAUUAUUAAAAUAUUAUUAAAAAUUGUCCAUAUCAACAAUGAUUGUGCCACGUAGGAUAGUCGACAUCCAUAUAGCGCCAACCGGCCAAAACUAAUCAAAUGGACUGAUAUAAUUGUAAAAAGUUUUGGACUCAAAUGGCUAAAAAAAUUAAGACUAAAUAUCACAAUUGCAAUAAGUUUAUAACUUUUUGGUAUUUCUCCGUUAUGAAUAUGCUCAAAAUCAAACUCUUCUUCUUGAACUAAUUACAAAUUUGGGUACUUCUAACACUUUAUUCAUAUUACAGAAGCUUCGCUAUUCCCGAAUUUAUCCUCGUUGCCGAAAUGUUUUGCUUGGAGGAGAGAUGCCAAAGGGGUUUGUCCUAGUUGAAGAUGGUACUAUAUCUUUCAUGGCUUCACAGGACUUUUUUGACAAGUUCUUUGAAUUGGUUCUCUGUGUUGUUUUCGGUGUGGAAGAUGGAAACAAGGAAAUAUCUUUCAAAAUCGUGCCACAUGUUAAUGGCCAAAAGCGGAAUGUGCUAGAAGGAACUCUCGGUUCAUAUGAUUCAGAUCAUAUGUGGAUUCAAUGUCUCAAACCAAAUAUAUUGUGGGGAUUGUUGCAAGGAGCAGUUGAUUUUAGUCAAUUUGAGGAGAAUUAUUUAAGAUUUAGCCUUACAAUUACACUAUCGGGUGGAAGCAUGAAAAAGUUGGGAUAUAUGCUAAGAUGCCCGCGAUUAGAGGAUGAUUUAAAGGUUGCAUUGGAAGAGAAUCAAUUAGUGGAUCCAGCUUCAUUCUAUGAGGACUCUGAUUCAGAGGAAGACACCUCAAUAGGAUACUUAAACACGUUUCCCAUUUUGCAAGGAACCGGAAGCAGUGACAGUGAAACAAAUUAAAUGGGAAGAGGUGAGUGUAGUUUAUGUUGGCUUGCAGCUCUUUAGAGAGCGAUUAGUAAGGCAGUGAAACAAAUUCGGGGUGGCAUGUGUUUCCUUAUACCCCGGGACAGGGGUUGGAGUAAUAGAUGGCGUUCGGUUCAGUCUCUCGUCUCAUAUUCAAAUAUAUGAAACUGGAUAGACGGUGACUUGGCACGCAACAUUCAUAGCAAGUGUGUUUGUUUUUCAUAUUUCCUUGUCAAUUGGAUCAUGAUCUCAUUGAUAAAUGUCAUAUUCUGCACAACAUGCUUAGCAGCAUCUCAUUUACUGAUUUCAGUGGCAUUAGUGUAUCCUUGUAAUAAUAGUCCUAAGAAGUGAGCCCUUUUAACUGAAGUGCGGAGAUCAUGUUAUCAUCAUCGCACCUACUGGCAACUGUUUGUCGGGUUAUCUAGAUCAUAAAAUCAAAUCCUCAACAGUCAAACUAUAGAAAGUACCCUCACAAAUGAUAAUAGAAUCUUAGUAAAAGUUCGUGAAGCACACAAGUCCAAUUUUCAAUUUGCCAAAAAAGGAUCAAUGUUCCAAGUAUGGUAAUUUUUCUCAUAUGGUUAGUCAAUUUUAAAUCCCCUUGGCAAAAUUAUAUAGCUAGCAACUUAUUGGUCAUGUUAGCUCAUAGUAAUUUACCAACAAGGGAUGAUGCAUCAAAUCAACUUGAGAGAGGAAGAUUCUGAUUCUCUCUACGUUGGUAGAGUUGUCCCUCCGUCCAUGGAGUCCUCCUCUAUCCCCGAUGGGUGAUAGCUUCCCCAAACCCUAACCCCAAACCCCCAAGCUCUCUUCCUCCAUCUGUGUUGCUUCACCCAAACCCCUAAACCAUGUACCCCCACAAUCCUUCUAGCCCGUAAACCCCAAAAAUCAAAACCUAACCAAACCCUAAACGAUGAACAUCACUGACGGCUUUCCUCAUCUUCGGUCUGCAUUUGCCACUAGAAUUCAGAAGAAAUAGUGAGUAGAUUCUCAUAGUGUUGGCAUAUCCAAGUCCCUACUCUGAGCUCCCUUCAAUCGAAAACCGCGAACAUCUCCAAAUCAGGUACGAAGUCCCUGUGUUCAGAUCCUGCAAGAUCGGUAGAAAAUGGAGAACGAUGAAGAAAAUCAGCUUCGUGUUGCAACUCUUUGUAGGAGUCUAGGGCACUUAUGGUCGGAUAACGAUGUGGUUGUUGUUAGGGAGGAAGCCCCAACCGAUAAAAUCAUAGAGUGCCAACAUACUCUCUUUAGGAAACUUCUAUCGCGACCGAUUGUAAACUUUCAAGCUUUCUGUACAACGAUGAAGAAGGCUUGGAAACUAGAUGUAGUUGUAAUAGCCCAAAAUGAACCUAGGUUUUUCUCCUUCAUGUUUGAAUCAAACGGAGAUAAAGAGCGAGUGCUAAAUUCUGGUCCCUGGUCUUUUUCAAGCAAUUUAUUGGUUUUGAAAUAGUGCGUACCUGAAAUUCCUGAACAUUGCUAUGAUUUCUCGUGUUAUGAUUUCUAGGUCCAUAUUCUCGGCCUACCUCCUGGGUGGAUUCUGGAGGAAGUAUAUGCUAAUAUGGCUGGCAAAAUAGGCAAAGUGAUGGAAAUUCAGUUAGAAUUGCAAGGCAAUGCCUUCACUAAACUUGGUAAAGUACGCGUUGAAUUAGACCUAUUAGCCCCCUUGAAAACUGUGACUUUAGUGCAUAUGGGCGCCAAAAAAGCUGUGGGUUGAGUUCAAGUACGAACGCCUCCCCCAUUACUGCUAUUCCUGCGGCAGGAUGGGGCAUUACGCUGCCAACUGCGAAGAAAUACCCUAUGAACAGUUUAAAUGGGCAGCAAACAAGGUAGGGAAAUAUGGAUCGUGGCUUAAAGUAGAGGCAAGAGACAAAAGCCCUCACCGGGAAGCGUUUUACGUGACAUCCAGAUUCUUUGACCCUGUCUUCUACUGAAUGAAUCGGGCAUUUCGUUGACGCGUCUAUAGGGUUAUUCUCAGAGCCGAUCACUCUCGAGAUAACUAGAUUAUCUGGGGAAAUUAUUAAGGAAUUUUAAGCCAAUAGACUUAAGAACUCGAUCAUGAAUCGACUUCUUGACCGUGUCCAUCUUUAGAGGUCAGUACGGCACAGUUAAAAAUCGAUUUGAAAUCAGAGAUAGAUUGGAUUGAUAGAGAUAUGUGACUAAUCGUGGGUGACACUACUGAAUUAGAAAAUUCUCGUCGGCCAACACUAGACUGAUUUUCUUAUUGUUUUGGUACCCUGUGUCCAUAAUUGAAUUCUCGAGAUUUUCACGACAAUCAAGAGUUGCCAUUGAGUCGAGUGGGUUCAUAGUGGCUCGAAGAAAAUCGACCACGGGUCAUUUGUCUUAAAAAGUUCUGAAAACUAUCCGAUAGUCUAGGUCACGCUAAAAACGCGCCGAAUGAAAAUUAACUGCUAAUUCGAGUUCGAUUUCAGAAAUUGAAGUUUUGGCCAUGUCACAAUAAAUUUUAGGAGCAUCGACUCAGUCUCAGAAGAUUUUUCGGAUAUUCGGGAAAUUUUACGGAAAUUGGGUUCGGACGUCGCGGAAAUUUGGCAGAAGUUCAGAUGGGCUAAAUUAAUGGGAAAUUUGACUUUCGGGUUGAGCCUUUGUGUGUCGGAGAUUUAUAGAAAAUUUCUUGGGAUUUUUCUACAUCAAAAUUGGACCUCAAUAUGGAGAGAUUGGAAUUGAAAUUUAGUUCGAACUUAGUUAAAAUCGAAUCUCAAGAUGGGGUGUGCAACAUUGGUAUCGGUUUGGAUUUUUGGUGGAUUCUUGAAUGAGGAAAAAUGCAGAGACGAUCAAUGAAUGAUCAAUUGAAUUUGUUAGAAUCAAAUUGAGAUAGAAUCAAGAGAGAAUGGUUGUGCAAUUUAAGCCAAUCCUCCCCCAAAUUCGUGUACCCCACCUAGCCACAACAUUUGGAUCAUUUUGGCUUCUAGAAGAGUGCAUGAGUGGUCCAUUGUGAGCCAAGGAAUCUAUACAUGGCUAAGAAUGAGUUUUUGGGAGAUAUUUGUGUGAGAAUUAAAAGCCAAAGGGCCCCUGACUCAUCCAUAUCCAUUCUCUCUCUCUCACCCCUCUAACCGAUUACACUCACUUCCCCAUCUCUCCAUUUUCCUCGCACAAAGCCGAGAAUAGAGAAGCCGCGCCUGCACACCCAUCUCCGCGCGCCCGAACUCCAAAUUCGUUCGGUCCAUCUUCUUGCCGUGAAGUCGCAAGAGCCACCGAAGCUGCCCACGUCCCACCGAAGGCUACAAGCUUCUUCGUGUCUUCAAUUUGCUGGUCAACAUCUCCUUCCACUGAAGAAGCCACACGUCCGCAAGCGAACUCUCCUCCACUGUCUUCUUCAACGAGCUGCCACGUUCGGUCAAUCGUGGAACCUCUCCACCAGUUGGUUGACCGCAGCAGCCCAUGCACACACGCAGACCAGUCACCAGCAACGCCAGCGAAGAAGGCCACCUCCACGCGUCCAGUAGCUGCGGAAGUUCAUUCCACCGAAGACCCCAUCGAAAUCCCACCAUCAUUCCUCCCUCCUUUGCCGCCUGCAGCCAGCCCCCCCUCUUGUCCACGUUUCUCUCCACUUGUUCUUGUCUCCUUACCGUUUGUUGACUGAAGACCAUCGAGCGAAGCUCCACCGAGGUCCUGUGGUUGACCUCUACAAUUUCCACCAGCCUUCGUGUCUUCAUCCAGCGUCAGCCGCGUUCGCAUGUUCUUCCAAUAAACGAAGCAGCUGCCCAACGUGCGUCUCUCCCUCGCUCAUCUAGCUCCACGGCCGAAGUUGCUUCCUUUCCGUCGUUACUCCUUGGAUUCAGCCCACGCGAAUUUGUAGAAACCUAGCAUCUCAGUCGCUAAUUCCAGCCGACAGAAUUCCAGCACUUUCGGCCCACCAACGGCGUAGUUGAAUUCAACAAAUGGGCCAGCAAUUUCAGUCUUCAAGCCUGCAGGAUUGAGGCCCAAUUUCAGUCCACAAUUUGAAGCUCAAGUAAUUUCAGUCCAGAAAUUUCAGCAGGCCCAAUUCAACUUGGGUCUGGCCCAAAAGCAAGAAACAAAUCUCAGUUGGGCUGAGAUUUGUUAGGCCAAGUCCAAGGCCGGGUCCAGGUCCACCGAUAUUGUCGAAAGUUCGAUUUCGGCCGCUGUCGCGUCGCCGUCACGGUGAUCCGGUCUUUGCUCAUAUCAAGUGAGUUUUACUCACUAAAGCUUUCUUAGUUUGCUAAUUAUACUUAAGGUUGGUUAGAUUUAAUUAAAUGCAAUUAGGUGGUUAGAUUAGUUUAGGUCAAUUAAAUUAGAAACUUAAUGAUGCAUGUUAGGUGGUUAGAAAUAGACAUUAGCAAGUAGACAUGCCAUGUUAUUUAUGGAACGAGUUUCGGUAAUUUUCCGGGCUUGUCUUGGUGUCCAAUUCGGCAUUACGAGCCUAAAUUGGAUUUUUCAUAAUUAUUUAUUUAUUUUUCGAAAUUAAUUAUUUAAUUAUUUAUUUUUCCGGAUAUUCAAACCGGAUGGCCGGUGACCGGAAUUUCGUGUUGAUUGUCGUGGUGUAGUCCGUUUAUUUAUUUGAGCUUUAUUUGGUGUUAAAGCAAUUUAGAAGUGAAUUUAAGAUAUAUUCCUAAACUAGAUCUUGAGAGGGUCGGGUGGGACCGUAAAGCCACUAAAUGUUGAGAGGGUCGGGUGGGACCGUAAAGUCACUAGAUCUUGAGAGGGUCGGGUGGGACCGUAAAGCCACUAGAUCUUGAGAGGGUCGGGUGGAACCGUAAAGCCACUAGAUCUUGAGAGGAUCGGGUGGGACCGUAAAGCCACUAGAUCUUGAGAGGGUCGGGUGGGACUGUAAAGCCACUAAAUUUAAGGGAUUGCUUGGUGUAGGAUGAAUGACCUAGAAAUGAUCUGUCUGACAUGAAAUCGACUAGGUCGAUUUGAUCAAUGCUUCGAUCGGUGAUGUGAUUGUUUGAAUACCUAUUGAACUGUACUAAUAUGCAGAUGGAAUCUGAGGCCAAGGUAAGUCCUCCAACUCGUGCCGUGUUUAGGCAGUCUAUAGUGUAUUGGCUUACUAAUCUAGUCUUAGGGGGUAGGACUCGCUGAGACGUGGUCUCAUUGGUUAUUGAAUAACCAUUUCAGGACCCUGAGGAGAAGCUAAGGAAGAGGAACCUAAAGGGGAGAAAGACUUUUGAAGAAGAAGAUGAUCCAGAGAGGGAUCUUGAAUAUAACCCAGAUGUGGACUGAAAUCCCAUCCCUUUUGUAAACCGAGUCUUAGCGUAGAUAGGUGUGAGACAAGUAUGUUGUGAAUAGUAUUGUAAACAUACUAUGAGUGCGCUGUUAAUGAAAGUGUGGUUGUGAAUUUCAAUAUGAAAAAUAUGGCCUACUUUCCUAUCCCAUUGUUUUAUUGCCUGGGGAUUUAUAACUGCUUCCGCAUGUGCUUAAUGAAAAGAAAGGGUCUGCAAUACAUAGUCCUGGGAUAUCGCAUUCUAAAAUCGACCAAGUAGAAGGAUGCGCACGCGUCCGAGGAUCGAGGCGUGACAUUUUAUGGCACAUAAACACCUAACCUAGAGAUUGAGGAGUAUGUACCUAAAACUCCUCUUCAGUCUAACCUCGAGAUCGUGGGCUGCCCUGGACUUGCGGCUGGACCUAAUCAAAGCAAAAAGAGGGCAGAAAAUCCAUAAUAAUCUGAAAACAGAGCAGAAGACAUGCGAACCAUAGCAGAAAAGUCAGCAACAGGAAAGCAGCGCUUAUAUUUAUUAGAUUCGACUGAGGCAGGAUGCCCUGACAUAGGAGGCUCCACCAGGAAGGGGCCAAAGCUUAUUAGAGCAAAAAAGCUUAAGAAGAUCGAGGAAUCAAGCUUGUUAAUAAUAGAAGACAUGGAGUUACACUCUUAUCCAGCUGAUGAAAGAAGGGAAUGGUCGGGCUUUGGUGACUAGCCCUAAUAAGCCACCAGCGAUAUCAUGAGGAUCCUGAGCUAGAACUGUUAGGGGCUAGGCAACCCCCUGAUGUUCCAAGAGCUUAGAGCCUUAGUGGCUCUGGAAAGGCCCACUGUGGUGUUCUUGAUGGAAACUAAAAAUAAAGUAUCUAUGGUGGAAAGGGUAAGGAGGAGACUUAACUAUCAACAGUCUUUUUUGGUACAGCCAACAGGACUUGCAAGCGGACCCGUUCUCCUAUGGAAUGAAGAGAUUCAGGUGAAAGUGAGUUGCAGUUCAAACUAUUUCAUAGAUAUGGAAUGUGAUGACCCCCAAAGUGGCAAACUAAUGAGAAUAACAUUCCUUCAUGCUCCAACAAGCUACCAAGAUAGACUUCAAUUAUGGCAACAACUAAGAUGUUUUCAUGCAACCAAUCACUUGUUGUGGCUUUGUAUGGGAGAUUUUAAUGAUACCCUCUAUACCUGGGAGAAGGAAGGCAAAUGGGAGAUUGAUUAUUAUCGAUUUGCAACCUUUAGGGAUAUGUUAAAUGACUGCUCAUUAAUAGAGAUUAACAGCAAAUGCUGUAUUUUUACAUGGACUAACAACAGAGAAGUGGAAGAUUUAGUAAAAAAGCGUUUAGACAAAGCAGUUUGCACAAUGGAAUGACGAAUCACCUUCCCAAAUGCUGAAAUCUUGGCAUUACCAGCGGUGGGGUCGGAUCACAGCCCCCUCCUCCUCUCUUUACAUAUUGGUCAUGGCAAAAGAAAACGUGAAUUCAGAUUUGAAGCUUACUGGUUAGAUGAGGAGGAAUGUAGGGAUGUCAUUAAGAAUGCUUGGGCUGCAAAUCACCAAGAUAAUAGAAGCAUGUCACAAAAGAUUCAGCAAGUAACAAAGGCUCUAAUGGAAUGGAGCAAAAAGUAAUUUUCCAAUGCAUCAUAUCAAAUCAAAGAGCUCAAGCAACGCCUAAUAGAUCUAACAAAUUGUAACUCUGAAGAAUCCAGUAAAGCAGAAAUUCAGACGAUAAAGGCAAACAUUAAUCAUCUAUGGAGGCAAGAAGAUAUGUACCGAGGACUACGGUCCCGUAUAACUUGGCUCAAAUGGGGCGAUAAAAACACGAAGUAUUUCCAUGCAACUACAAUUCAGAGGAGACAAAGGAACAAACUAACCAUGUUGAAGAUUGAUGAACAACACUGGACCAGGGAUCCCAAGGCGCUAAAGCAGCACGUUACGGACUACUUCUGAUCUCUCUACGACUCGGUGGGACCAAGGAACAUCCAGCCCAUCUUAAAUCACUGCCCAACAAUAGUAAUAACAGAGAUGAAUCAAUUAUUGAUGGCUGAUUUAAUUGAGCAGGAGGUAAAAGAAGCUGUUUUUCAGUUUGGUUCCCUAAAGGCCCCAAGACCAAAUGGUCUAAAUGGGCAAUUCUAUCAGCAUUUUUGGGAUGAAAUCAAAAGGGACGUCAUGGAUAUGGUCCAGCAAUUUUUUCAAUUAGGUCAGUUCAAUCCUAUUCUUAACCAGACUUUCAUUGUCCUAAUACCAAAAAUUAAAAAUCCAGAGCAUAUCAGCAAAUUCCGACCAAUCAACCUUUGCAAUUUCAACUAUAAAAUUAUUUCAAAGGUCAUGGCAAAUCGAUUAAAACAAUGGCUCCCACAGAGUGCUUUUGUUCAUGGACGCAAAAUCCAUAACAAUAUACUAAUUGUUCAAGAAGUGUUGCAUCAAAUGAAGAUCAAAAAGAGGAAAUGAAAAUUCUAGGCUAUAUUGAAACUGGACAUGUAAAAAGUGUAUGAUAGAGUGGAGUGAGACUUUCUCCGUAUGAGUAUGUUAAAGAUGGGCUUUUCAGCUCAUUAGGUUCAUUUGAUUAUGCAAUGCGUUUCUACAGUUUCUCUAAAUGUGAAAGGUAAUGGAGAGCAAACAGAGUUUUUUCGUCCUACACGUGGUAUAAGACAAGGUGAUCCCCUCUCUCCCUACUUAUUCAUCGUGAUGGCCAAUGCACUCUCAUGGACGAUACACAAUGCCCUGGCAAUGGCAGCAUCAAAGGGAUCAGAUUAAACAGGUAUUGCCCUACGCUAACCCAUCUACUAUUUGCUGAUGAUGCUAUUUUUUUUUAUGGAUGGGACAGUUAGAGAAUGUCAAAGUUUGGCAGCUAUACUAAAUCAAUACUGUUAUGCGACGAGUCAAUCAAUUAACUUAAAUAAGUCAGGCAUGUUCUUCAGUAAUGGCUGCCCAUAGAAUUUAAAACAGAAUAUGACCCAAGAAUUGCAAGUGCCAACUAUUGACAGGACUGGGAAGUACCUAGGACUACCAUCAGACUGGGGCCAAACCAAAAAAGAAAUGUUCGCAUGGAUUUUGGCAAAAGUGAACAUGAAGUUAGCGGGAUGGAAAGAAAAAUACCUAUCGAAAGCUGGGAAAGAAAUCUUGGUCAAAACUGUUGUGCAAGCAUUGCCGCAAUACGCCAUGUCCAUCUUCAAAAUACCUGUAUCAAUUUGUAGGGCAAUUGAGAAAUGAAUUGCAGCAUUCUAGUGGAGGCAAAAUGAAGCCAAGAACAACAUGCAUUGGAAAAAAUAGGAGAUUCUGAAAUCCAAAAAAGAUCGAGGCGGAUUAGGUUUUAAAGAAUUAAUUUCGUUCAAUAAAGCUAUGUUGGGAAAGCAGGCCUGGCAACUAUCCCAAUCCCCUUCAGCUUUAUGGAGCCAAAUCCUAAAAGGAUUAUAUUUUCCUCAUGGAGACUUAUGGAAAGCAAACAGAGGUACCCGCCCUUCCUGGGGAUGGCAAAGCGUUCUUAUGGGACAUGACGCCAUAGCACCAGACUUAAAAUGGAUCAUGGGUGACGGGAAAUCCAUUCAUAUCCGUCAAGAUCAUUGGCUCUCACAAGGAAUACUCAGUGAACUAGAAAACAGAGAAGACCCUCAUUUAGUCACUGAUUUAAUUGAUGAGGAAAGGAAAAAGUGGAAAGAGCCGCUGUUAAAUCACUUAUUUGAACGGACAACAAUCAACGAAAUCCUCUCUAUUCCUAUUGCACAACAGCCAAAGGUAGAUAAGCUGAUCUAGACAGGCAACAAUGGCGGGCAAUAUACAAUCAAAAGUGGUUAUAACAGAGUCAAUGACGCCUCUUUAAUACAGGACAGAAGCAGAGCUUCAUCCUCCUACCAACCCCCUUAUAGCCUAUGGACAAGCCUGUGGAACCUGUCAAUCCACCCCCCCCCCCCCCCCCAAAACUGAGAAUCUUUCGAUGGAGCCUCUGUCAGGAUGCCCGACCAACCAAAGAAAAGCUCUACUAGCAAAAGAUUUUACCUGACCCGUUAUGCCCUCUUUGCUCCAAAUGCCCUGAGACAAUCGAGCAUAUCUUCUUUCACUGCAAAAAAGCCCAAAAGGUUUGGUCAAAUCCCUGACUAAAUCUCAGCCACAGCACACUUUCAGCUACCGGAAUGGACAAAUGGGUGGUGGAAUACCUUGUAGCAAAAACACACGUCCUAGACCGCGAACUGGUCGUUGAGGUUCUCUGGCAAGUCUAAAAAAAUAGGAACAACUUCGUGUUCCGGAAAACAACAGCCCAACCCGAGGCCCUGAUCGACACAGCUUCAACACAAAAGAACACCUAUCAGCAAUGGAACACGAGGAAGCGAUCUGCGUUGAGGGAAAAGGAACCCUUACCUGAAACCUAGACGGCACCAAAAUCGCCAGAUCUGAAGAUGAACGUUGACAGUUCAUGGACAAACAUCGACUUGACCAGCUCGAUUGCUGGAAUUCUUCGUGAUUCCAACGGUACCUUGAUAGAUGGGUUCGCCAAAGAGAUCUAUGAGUCUUCACCCUUGCAGGCGGAAACCCUAGCCCUGUUUCAUGGCUUGAAGAUGCUGAAAGAGAGAACAACUCUUCACGUGGGGAAUGUACACGAACUGAACAAAAGAGUUCUCUGCGAAAGUGACAACCGCAUGCUUGUAAACUCAAUUCUGGUCCGCGAAAAUGCUUCUUGGGCUGUCCAAGAUCAGGUACAGGAAUGCAAAGCCAUCUUGGCCCAAUUGCCAUUAACAACUGUUUCCUUUUGUCCGAGAGAGGCAAAUCACGCCGUAGAUUGGGUUGCAAAGGCACUACGCCAUAAAUUACUUCCUUCCAAUUGGCAACGCGAACCACCCACACCCCUUUUGUCUAUCUUAUGUUAUGACUCUAACUUAUCUUGUAAAGCUCGGUGUUUUUAAUGAAAGUAUGAAGCAACAAGUUAGCAACUUAGGAACGUGAAAUUUAACAAUAAGCUACCAACUUUUUAAUAGAUUUACCGCUCAAAACAAAAACUGAAUGGGGAACAUAGUAAUUUUCCAAUGGCAUUAAUAACUUACUGACAUUGUUCCAUUUUUCAAGGUAGCAAGUGAUCACCAAAGGGAAUUUUCCAAUUUCAAUUGGAUUGUAAAUUAUCUACUUGCUAUGUAGAAGUUUACCACUUAAAGAUUAAACUUACCGGUGAAAUUAGCAAUUUAUCUACAUAGGUCCGCCUACAUACUAGUUAAUUACCAAUACAAGGAGGAAUUUGCUAUUAAUAAAAAAACGCAAUUAGUCAAUUAUUACUGAAUUAAGUAACUUACAACGUGGGCAUAAUUUUACUGAAGUAUGUUACCAAUAAUUUGAGGAAUUUACGAAAGCCAAUUCAAUAGUGUUAUCAAGUUGCUAAGAAAAUUUUGCUAUUUCUUAUAAAAUCUUAUAAUUCAAGUUGGGAAUAGUACAAAAAAAAAAGCCUCAAAUCUAUUGCAUUGGACAAAGUUAGUCCUAAAUAUUUUACAUUAGUACCAAUUUAGUCCAUUGGGCCAAUUUAAAUCAGAAACUACUGAUGCGAAUGCCAAUCGCCCACGUGGACAAUUUUCUAAAAUUUUUAAAUGUUUCAUUUAUUCUUUUCUUUUUUUCCUUUUUUUAAACUUUGGGUCGACGAGGUCUUCGGUUGACCAUCACUGGCCAUAGGCAAGGGCGUUGUGGGGCCUUGGCUGCCACAAGCAAUUGUGCACUCAUCAACGGCAUUGUGCACUCAAAACAUAUUAAAAAAAUAAGAUAUCAGCAUUUCCCGUAAUUUAAAUUUGACAGAAUUACGGUACUUUUUAUCUGAACUAAUUGAACAACUUUUAAAAUCGGUUUAUCCUUUUUCCUUUUGCAUUUUUGCCCGUAGAAGGACUUGUUACAUAUCUGCUCCCUCAAUUCCAAUUCGAAAUUCCGUAUUGAUACAAGGUUUGCCAUUAGCCUACUGACGUGCCAAGAGAAUUGCUCUAUGCGACCAUUUCAGAAAAUCAUGGCUCAAAAAUUUCAAUCAAAAAGCAUGAUAUAUAGUUUCCAACUUUUUUUUUUUUUUUUGAUAUUAUGAAGAGCAACGUACUAAACCUAAAUUUGAUGAUAGCUCUUAGAAUUUCCUUUGCGAGAUUUCAGUGCAAAGACUUCUCUUACUCAGCUAAUAAAUCUGAAAAUUCUCAAUAUGAAAAUAAAUAUUUAUCUGGCCUGAUCAACACGAAAAUAUGAGAGAACAAGCUUGCUUCAUGUCACGGGGUGCAUUUGAUUGAUACCUUCCACGACUGAUGAUGCUGCAUUCUUGGAAAACCGGUUCGGUAGUGAUUUUUGUGAGUGAAGUGAAUUUUGAUGGAGUACUAGUUCUUGAAUUUUUUUUAGCCAUUUGAUCUCUUAUACAACCUAAUAUUUUAAUGAUGUUAGUGUUAUUAAAAAUGUACUACCUUGUGGGAUAAAAAAUGAGGCGACAGUUGACGUGGCGGGUUAUAAGUGCAUUUGAUGUGUCACUUAGUAAACACCAAGUCAGUUAAUAAAUAGGAAAAACCCAAAUCAAGAACUCAAAGGACUGCUAUGAGGGUUUUGUAUCAAACUUCUAUCUGAUUCAAGUCUUCAUUCUUUGAACUACUAAGGAUGCCCCGGCCACCCUUCCCCACUUGGAAAGGAGGAGGUGAGGAAUUCGAUUCCUCACCUCCUCGGGGCUGGGGUGAGCACGCAUGAAUGAAGAAGCAGGGCUUUGCAACCUGCGUGUAGCUAAGAUAGGACCAGAUCAAAAGGAAAAAGAAAAAAGUCUUCAUCGUCCGGAUUUCCCUUUUAUCUUUUAUCUUUUUUCCGACGACUUUAAAGAAGCUCGAUUGAUCUCUCUUGAGUCACGACUCUCCUUUGCGGCCUUGUCUUCUUCAAAGCAUUUUCUUACAUGUCGUGAGUCUCACUUGUGCUUGAGCGAAGGCCAUGGCACAACUACAAGAGAAUAAUGAAUUGCCACGGCGGAAGUGGUGAUUGAUGAGGCAGAGAGCAAGGGUGAUGGAGUCCAUUUUGGACUGCUUUGUUCGGUCCAAAAUUCCACGGGACAAGAAUGAACAAAAUCAUCCAUGAAUUUGAAUGAUGGGUUGGGCAUAGAAUAAGAGUUUAGAGCUUCUAAAGCCGUUGACAUCUGCGUCAACAACAUUAUCUUCUUCCAACGUCUGCGUAAGCCAUAGUAUCUCCUACAGCUAGUGCUUGUCCCUUCUCGCUUUGGUCAAGAUGACUUUGUUAUCUUAUGAAUUAGAAAUUAUAAAUUAGAAAUGAGAAACUAAGUUUGAGUUGGAUGGCCUCAACUGAAUGCUAGCUGGCCCCAAGUUUAUAAAGCACCCGUUAUUGGUGUAUAGAUGGAAAUAUUCUUGCAUGCUAUAAUUGCUUGGAUAGUGGUCAUACACAUCAGGAUAACAUUAAGAAACAUAUACAUACAAAAAGCUUCCCUAGAAAAUAGUCUAGAAGAUACCAUUACAUGAAUUGUAAAUGCUUGAAUGUAUGUACCAAAAUACAAUUGUUGAUCAUGAACAAAAUUUAAGAAUCUCUAUCUCCACCUUCAAGAGAUUCCUUUCCCUUAAUCAUUUCUCCUAUGUCUAGUUAAAAAUAGCAAAAUAAACAAAUUACCACGUGAAAUGAUUGUUCAUCAUGUAAAUGCAUUGAUCUUUAAUUUUUUUUUAUUUUUUUUAUCAAAAAUAAAGUUGUGUUAUGAUCCUCAAAAUACUAAUAAUACUCUGAGGUUAAAAUUGGGAGAAUUACCAAAAAAAUAUUAAAUUUAUUGUAAUUAUGCCAAUUCAAUCAUAAAUCUUUUACAAUUAUACUAAUUCAGUCAAUCCAUCUAGUUUUGGAUGGCCAGUGUUGACAUGAAUGUUGGGCUGUAGCUAUUGUCUACUCAAUACUGACGUGGCAAUUUUUUAAUAAUAUUUUAUUUAAAAUUUUUAAUUUUUUUAAUUUUUUUAAUUUUUUUUCCUUUUCUUUUUUCUUUUCUUCCUCCUUGGCUUCUUUUCCCACCGUGGCCGAUGAGACUCUAGCAAGGGUUGCUUGCUACUAGGUGAGAUCAUGAAGCUCUCGCUAGUGGCCCCUAGGCCUUGCCCGGAUGUGGGCCACUCCUAGUCUUCUUGACAAAUCUCUCUCUCUCUCUCUCUCUCUCUCUCUCUCUCUCAGGUCUAAAACGUUGCCAAAAAUGGGGUUAACUCGUGGUCUUUCGGACGAAGAUUUUUUUUUUUUUUGAUUGGUCCUACUUUAUUCCUACUCUAACUCUCACUCUCAAAUUUUUGCACCGCUUCCUUGUAGGAUGUGAGAGUUGAAACUCACACCUAAAACUAAAUUAUCCCCACCUUAACCCCCCUAAGAAUGUGGGGAUUCGAAUCCCCCCACCUCUCCCUUCCAUGUUGGAAGGGUGGCCAUUGGGGCAAACUCCAGUGGUUUUCUGGACGAAGAUUACAUCAACAAGAACAAGAGCUCAUCCUCACUCAAAUCGAGCUCCUCCUCCACACACUCAUCUUCUUCUUCUUUUUCUUCACUAUUGCUCUCUCCAUCAUCUCCAACUUCCAUUGAUCCUCCGUCAUCUUCCUUAAGAUCCAUGGAUGACCUCUGUUAAGACAUCAACUUGUCCUCCCUCCACACGUAGGCCACCACCAUGGCAACGCGAUCCUCUAGAAUUUCUUGGGUGGAGAUGGCGGUGGUGGGGGUGGACCCUUCAAUGAGGACCAAGUUCAAGAAAAGAUGCGUGUGACCCCGACCAUUCACUGUUUAGCUUAGGAUUGACCUUUGCCUAGUUCAAGAUUGGCCUUGCCAACCAUAGGUGAGGCCUGGUGAUACCUGAUUUUUAGUCAACGCCUCAAAAAAAUGAAAAAAAAAAAAUCAAAAUUAAGGUUUUCAAUCGAGACGAAUGGGCUAAAUAGUGUCAUUCUUCAUUUUUUUUUUCCUUUUGCACUGUCACUUUUAAGUGAUUUCCUAGUUACUUCCAAGAAAAAUCCGAAAAGUCAAACAAUUGACUUCUUUGUGGACUUUUUUAGUUACCCCUUGACCAAAAGUCAACCCCGAGUCAAAAGUUGACUUUUUAAANNNNNNNNNNNNNNNNNNNNNNNNNNNNNNNNNNNNNNNNNNNNNNNNNNNNNNNNNNNNNNNNNNNNNNNNNNNNNNNNNNNNNNNNNNNNNNNNNNNNNNNNNNNNNNNNNNNNNNNNNNNNNNNNNNNNNNNNNNNNNNNNNNNNNNNNNNNNNNNNNNNNNNNNNNNNNNNNNNNNNNNNNNNNNNNNNNNNNNNNNNNNNNNNNNNNNNNNNNNNNNNAAAAAUUUUGCAAAAUUCGGUUAAGAACCUUAUUUUACAUUUUUUUUUUUUGGUUUUAGGUUUGAAAUUGACCAAAAAAAAAAAAAUCAUUUUUAGUCAUAAUUAGGUGUAGCUUCUUUUACGACAUUCAUUUUAGGGACUAUUUCUAAUCCAUUCCUUCACUCAAUUUUGGGAAUUGUCAAAUCAAAGGGCGAGUUGCCAUUUUGAGCCCUUAUUAAGGGAUCCGAAUCGAUCAUUCAUGAGUUGCGAAUAGACAUUUGUAUUCCACUCAUUUUCUUGAUAUAAAUUUAAAUCCAAAGUCCAUUUUGAGAAAUUUAGUUGAGAAUUUCCCAAUUUGAGGAAUUUUGCUCUUUUGAAUAUAGGAAAACUGGAUUAUUGAGCUUCAAUUGAAGAUAUUCAAGUGGAUCCAUUCAUUCAAGAUUAAGGUCUAAUUUCAUAAAUCUAUUUUUGGCUUAAGUCUCGCAGAUUCAAUUCAAAGUCAAUUUGAAUGUAAUAGGUUACCAUAAGCAUGAGUAAUUAGUUGAAUAUGUUUACCACAAUAUUAAUUGAAUUCAAUUUCAAUUAAUUCGUGAUUUCGAGCGAAGAGUUGCAAAAAUUGCCCAUUUUGGCUUAUAGGUUCAAUUACAUGUACCCAUGGCCUAGAUGCAUCAUUUUUCACAAUAAUCAUUCGAUUAGAUUGAUAAAAAAAAAAAAAACCCCCCAUAGAUUGCAUUUAAGGGGUUUAACUAGUUUAAUUUGAUUAAAAUCGGAUAAUUUCUUCUCAUAUUGGAUAAAUUUUCUUUUCUAUAAAUUUUGAGCCCACAAGAACUACCCAGCUAAGUAUUGGCAUGAAUUGGUUCAACCGGUCCAAUUGGUCGCUGAUGAGGCAGGCUAAUUCGGCCCUUGGCUGACCAGUUCUUCUAGGUCACCAGCACCGGUUCCCUACCCCUCGUCGUGUGUAUUUUGUCCUCGUGCCUUUCCAUUUUCCAGAUUUUGCAAAAUGGCCCUUGAAUUUUGUAAAUUUAUGAUUUUACCCAUAAUUAGGCUCUAAUUACGAUUCUUGUUUUGAACCUCAAGUUUUGCGAAUCAAAGCCAUCCGAUCAGUCAUAGGACAUGUUUUGAGUGGGCUUAGCCUUCAAUGGACUUAAUUUGGCCAUUAAAUCAAAGUUUUGAUCAUCGGAUUAAACCGAUGGUCAAGAUUCAACGAUUAGGCCUUAGCAUAAAAGGUUUUUUCCUCCGAAAUGCAAGGGGGCCCCUCAUUUGCAGAAUACUUUCUCUUUCAAAAUCAGAAAACCUCUCUCUCCCCCCUCUCUUCCCACUCUUUUGCUUUCUCCCAAACUAGCCCCUCGCCAGUCCAUCGCCCGUCGGCCUCACGUCGUCGAUCUGCCAAUCGCCACCUAGCCCCUCGACGGUCUUCUCCUCAUCCUCAAUCUUCUAGUGACCGGUGCCUCCUCCAGCAGUCGAUUGAUCGGCUUGAGCCAGUCGCUUGUUCUGCG
rnacentral:lncRNA from 1 species